AUUAGAUGAUGGGCAUGAUACAUGUAAUUUCAUUUUCACCAAAUUAUUUUCAACAAUAAAAAUCAAAACAAAACUCUCAAAGCAUUGUAUAAAGUAACAAGUGAAGGGGGUGAGACAUACUUCUAUUAUUAAAUAAAUCCCAACUACAUGGAGGAAAACUUGGCCUUUAUUUGAACAUACAAAACAGACAUCAAGAACAAACUCUCAUUUUCUAUCCUCACUCUCUCACAGUGAAAAAUAAGGAGACAAAAGGAGAAAAACACAGGAAAAAGGAAGAGAGAGAGAUGGAUGGCCAAGGUGAACUACUGAUUAGUGCAGAAGGAACAUCUUGAACCAGUNNNNNNNNNNNNNNNNNNNNNNNNNNNNNNNNNNNNNNNNNNNNNNNNNNNNNNNNNNNNNNNNNNNNNNNNNNNNNNNNNNNNNNNNNNNNNNNNNNNNNNNNNNNNNNNNNNNNNNNNNNNNNNNNNNNNNNNNNNNNNNNNNNNNNNNNNNNNNNNNNNNNNNNNNNNNNNNNNNNNNNNNNNNNNNNNNNNNNNNNNNNNNNNNNNNNNNNNNNNNNNNNNNNNNNNNNNNNNNNNNNNNNNNNNNNNNNNNNNNNNNNNNNNNNNNNNNNNNNNNNNNNNNNNNNNNNNNNNNNNNNNNNNNNNNNNNNNNNNNNNNNNNNNNNNNNNNNNNNNNNNNNNNNNNNNNNNNNNNNNNNNNNNNNNNNNNNNNNNNNNNNNNNNNNNNNNNNNNNNNNNNNNNNNNNNNNNNNNNNNNNNNNNNNNNNNNNNNNNNNNNNNNNNNNNNNNNNNNNNNNNNNNNNNNNNNNNNNNNNNNNNNNNNNNNNNNNNNNNNNNNNNNNNNNNNNNNNNNNNNNNNNNNNNNNNNNNNNNNNNNNNNNNNNNNNNNNNNNNNNNNNNNNNNNNNNNNNNNNNNNNNNNNNNNACUAAAACAACUAUAUAUGUGGACUUUGUUUGUUAUUAAAUAUUUUAGAAUUAUCUAUUAUUUACUUUUGUUUUCUUUUCAAGUUUGUAUAUGGUUUGGUUGUUUAUUGUAAUUGAUAACUAAUACACAAUAUCUGAUAGUUGAUAGCCGAUAGCUAAGAAAUAUUAAUUGUUUUAUAAAAUUUUAAAUAAUUAUUAUUGUUAAUUUGUCAAAUGAACGUUAGAGAUACAAUUUACUCAAUAUGUUUAUUUUUAUUUUUAUAUUAUACUUUUACUAAAUGAAUUAUUUAAAAUGAAAUACAGUAUUUAAAAUUAUAAUUCACUUUACUAUAUAUAUAUAUUAUCAUAAGAAAUUUAGGCAAAUUUAUAAGUGAAUAUCGAAUUCAAAUCUGAUAUAAAAUUUAUUUUUUUCUAAACACUAAUAAUAUAAUAUAAUAAAUUAGAUAUUAAUUUAAUUUUAAAUAAUAUGUACGUAUUAUAAAUUAUUAAAAAAGAACUAUAUAAUUUCUCAAAAGAAUCAUUAUAUAAAAUCAAUGUAGAAAUUAUUAUGUUAUUAGUAAAAGAUAUAAUUCAAUAGAAAAAAUUUAAAUUAGUUAUCAAUCAAUAAAAAAAUAUUUUAAAAUCGAUCUUAUAUAAUAAAUUUUAAAAUUUUCUUCUUAUUUUUUUUGUAAUAUAUAAAUAUUUUCAUACAAAUACUUGGAAGUAUUGAAUAAAGACACGUAUGAAAAAGUGUUAAAAUAUCACUAAAAAAAUAAGGUUAAGUGUUUGCCCGGUAAAAUUCAAAAUUAAAAUAUUAAAUUAGUUAAAUGAUUAAAAUUUAGGAGCAUAAAAAUACAUUUGGCCAUUUGACUACAAUGAAAACUUUAGGUAUUCUAGAGAAAGUUUUAUUUAUACUGACAUUAUUAAUUUAAGUAUUUUAAUAAUAAUGAUGAUGAUGAUAAAAUAUUCAAAACUUAAUUGUUGCCACUCACUUGAUUGCUUGUAGGAGAUUUGUCAAAUGAGUGUGGUAGUAUCUUAUCCGCAAGGCAUCUUUACGAGAUUCUUCAAUUGAUAUUGAUGCGUUAUUUGCAUCAGCAAGACCUGGGAAAGAAACAAACCUUUUUUUAGUUAAUAUGGAAAGUAGUUGGUACGGUAUCAAGAAAUAAACUAAGCUGCUUUUCUUACCAUUCUCUGUAACGAAAAUGGGAGGAUUCUUGUAAUUAUCCCUUAUAUGAAGCAUGAGAUGGUAAAUUCCCCUUGGAUAGACGUAUAGCCAAUUCAAAGGUGUCUGUAACACAGAAAUUAACAUUUUAUUUAGCAAAUACUUGAUGCAUUUCUUUUCGUUUAAGCUUAGGAAAGGUAGUGAUCAAUAUAAUACAUACAUUCGAAAUAAGUCCUUCAUGCUUUUAUUAGCUAUUUCUAAUAUAUUAUAUUCAAAAACUGAACUAUAAACAUAUAUUUUAAAAGUAUUUUACCUUUGAUGAAUGACACAGCGAUUAUAUUUUAUUUUUCUUUCUGUCCCUGGGCUAAUAGUAGGGCAUAUUACAUAAGGAGUAGGCAAGAUUAUAGUUGGUAAAUUUAGUGCUAACGAUAGGAUAUGAUAAAGUUAAAAAUGAGUAUGAGAUUGAGAAAGUACCGGUGUACCAAUAGGAACUCCAGCUUUCGUGACUGCAAUCAUUAAUAUUGAUUAUAUAAGACAACAAACCUAGAGAAAUUAUAAAAGAAAGAAACAACAUUAGGCAAUGAAUUUGAGCGUACCAGAGAGAGUGGUUUGGCUAUCAGUGCUCCAGCUGUGGUUGGAAGUGGUAACUGGGUUGUUUGAUGCAAAGUUUGUGGUGUAGUAAUUUACUCCCAUGUAAUCCAGAGACCCUUUUAGCAAUUUGGAUUGUUCUUUUGUAAAUUUCGGCAACCGAUCUCCCACAUAAGCUUUCAUUAUUUCAGGAUAAUCUCCAUAUGUAAUUGGAUGGGCAAACCUACAAAAAUUAGUUUUCAGGAUUAUCAUAGAGUUAUGCCUUCUCAAGGCUAUUUAUUUGAGACCCAGGGAAAAUGUUUUGACACUUACCAACCAAACAUAAAAUCAAUUAUUCUCAUGGUUGCUUUCUUGUCAGAUUCUGAUGCUGGUGACUUUGGUAUAAACCAGUUAGUCACUAACGUGACGCCAAUUUGUCCUUUCUGAGUAGCCUAUAUUUGAUUUGAGCGUUUAUUUAGAUGACACAUUGCUUACAUAACAUAAAAUAAUCUGUUAUAAGUACUAAUUCACUAUAUCUUUUUUGGAACAAAAUAAAAACAGCCAUCCGUGCAUGUAAAAACCUGAUAUUUGGCCUUGUAUAAUCUAACAGCACUGGCAUGAGAAAGAAGCAAGUGAUGAGCCACAAGAUAGGGCUCUGUGGAAGAGUCACCAGCAGUGCAGUUCCCCACAUAGUUAGAGCAUCGGCCGGGGGCAAAUGUACCUCCAUUAUAUCCAUUGAUACUAAAUGAAUAAGGCUCAUUCAAUGUGCACCAGUGCUUGACUCGAUCACCAAAUGUUUUGAAGCAAAAGUCUGCAUAAUCUCGAUAAUCAUCCCUGAUAUAAUCGUCAACAAUAUCAUUUUUUUUACCAUAAAUGUUUUUGAACUAAAAGAAAAAUGAAAAUUUAAGUUAGAGAUUCAUAUUCGAAUUUGAAGCUUACACUACUUUAGGGCUCAGGAAGCCAUUAUAUUCAUCCUCAAGAGCUUGGGGGAGAUCCCAAUGGAACAAUGUCACAAAUGGUGUUAGACCUAUAAGCAUAAUGGAGAAAUAUUGUUAGUUAUGAAAUAAAACAUAGAGAUGGCAAAGAUCUUUUUAAAUUGGAGAAAGAUUGGAUCAUCAAUAUAUACCAUUGGCAAUAAGCUCAUUAAUGAGAUCAUUGUAGAAUUUGACUCCUUUUGGAUUCACUCCUCCACUGACUUUUCCCUCUGCAAAUAAAAGGUCACAAUAAAAUGAAAUAACGAACAUAAAAGAAAACAAGUAGCUUAAUGAAUAUUUACUAGCAAUAGUAAACAUUGGAAGAUGCAGCAGUUAUAUCUUACUGGGCAGUACUCUAGACCACGAGAUGGAGAAUCUAAAGGAGUCCAAUCCAAUUCUUUUCAUCAAUUGAAUGUCCUCCUGCAGGUAGAUUUGUUUGUUAAUCCUUUUAAAGACAAAGAAUAUUUAUAUCCUUAACUAUUGAUUUCUUGCAAACAAUCUUAGUUUAUAGUAGGCCGCCCACCUUGUAACGAUGAUAAAAGUCAAUAGCUACAUCUCCAUUGCUCUGAUCCCAAAUUUUCUCUGCAGAACCACCAAUUGAUAAUCAAUUUCAGUUUUAAUUAAGGAGACCGGUUAAAAUUAGACUAGAAUCGUUAGUUCAGUUCCAAUUUAGAACUAUGCUAUAAAAGAGAUAUUUAUGUGGCGAACUAUGAGUAUUUUUGUUGUUAUUGAGCAAGUAAAAAUAAUUAUUUUCUCUUAACAUAGCUUUGAAAUCUAUUAGGAAUACUUUUUUUAUUAUUUGAGUUAAAAGAUCAUGAGAAUUAAUGUUAACUAAUGUCAUGAAAGAAAUUACAAAUCCAUUAUUUGACAACAGAAAUGGACCUAAGCUUAGAGAGAGAGAGAGAGAGAGAGACCAGGAUGCUCCCUUGUGAACGUAUCCCAAAUACUGGGUCCCUUGCCAUCUAUAUAAGCAGCUCCUUCAGACUAUAAAAAUAUAAAGAGAAAAGUGAAAAGGAGAAAAAAAUUUAAAGCCAGCAUAAGAUUACAAGGCAUGAAUAUUAUGCACAAACUUAUUUAUAAAAAGUACAAGUGAAUGCUCUCAUUCUGCAAAUACAAGUUCUUAUAACUGUUCUGCAACAGUGUAUUAAUUGCUCGGUUAAUAAUAAGGUAUUCAACUGUCAAUUCUGCUUCCGGCAAAUAAAAAGAAACUUCCAAGUGUCAAUUCUACUAAAAGGAAAAAAUCAAGUUUUCAGAAACUACAUGGAAAUAUGGGUACCUGGUAAGCAGCAGAACCAGCUCCGAAUAUGAAACCAGAAGGAUAACUACUCCUAUUGAAUGGCAUUGUGUAAUGACCUGGAGUUGUGGCAUAGGUGCUACCCAGAAACCCACCAAUCAUUACCAGGCAACACAGAAGGAUAGCAACCUGAGCUGCCAUUGCUUAGUGUUUUCCUUUUUUUUUUUUUUUCUUUUCUGAUGCCCUGUACUUCACUUGAAGCCCCUAUUUAUAAUAAAAUAUCCAGACACAUCUUUCGGUGCUUUAGAUUUCUAUAUAUAUUUAUAUAACAUUGAAUUCUCCUGUGUAUAAUUAAACAAAAAGAAUUUCGUGCACGAAAAUGGCAAUUUAAUCCUUUUUUUUUCUCAAUGAUUUAGAGUAAAUAUAUUAGAAUAAUGUGGGACAUGUAGCAUGAGACUACCUAUCGUAUCAUUUCACCGACGCCCAUAUCAAAAAUUUUUGUCCUUGCUUUUUGUUUUUGGCUUGUUGACUGAAAUAUUCCUAUUUCCUUUGGUUUUUGCUCUUUUAAUAGAAUUCCACAUCAAUUAGAUCGGGAAUAAAUAAAGCAACUGUGUAUUUGGCUAUUUUUCGAUAAAUAGUAACAUGUAUUUUAUAUCGUUAUAUGUUACUUUAUAUCAUGAAUUUAUAUUAUAUUAUCACAUUAUAACCAUGCCGAAGUUAAGUUUGUUAUAUAAGAUUAUAUUAAGUUGUAUGGUAAAAAAAUUGUAAGUGUUAAACAAUUUAAUUCAAUUCUUUUAAUAUUAUUUGACAGGAGAAUAUUGAGUAAAAACAUUGUAUUACGCAAUAUAGUGUGCAAUAAUUUUCUUUGUCGAAGAACAUCAAAAAAUAUCCAGCAAAUCUUUUGUUAGAAAAAAAAGGAAUGGAUCUCAUUAUGAAAUUGAAAUGAUUUGUUUAAGAUGAAAAUUUAUUAUAUGACUCUAGAGUUUAAAUAAUAGAAUUAGGUAUGGAGUUAACCAAUAUUAAAAUUAUUAGAAUUAGCUACUUGGUUAUUUGGACUUUAGUUUUUAUAAAUUUUUUAUUUUUUUUAUUCUUUAGUGAUGUAGGGUUUUUAUCAUAUUCCCUCAAUUGAGAUUUAAUUUUGACGUCCAGUUGUCAUUUAAAAUUAAAAUUCUUUUUGAAAUUUGAAAUUGAAUUGAGACGUAGCAGUAAUACUGGACCGAGCCGUUAGGAUUGGACGUUCAGACGGAAAGCUAAAAAAGCUAGAACUGAAUAAGAAAUCGGAUUACAUAUGUUCUGAUAUUAUAUUAGCAAAUUAAAAUAAUUUAAUUAAAAUGGGAGUUGAAUGAAUGAGUGUAGAACUCAACUAAUAGAAUUGAGCUUGAAUUCUAUUAAUAUCAAAAUAACUACUUAAUUUGUUAAUUUUAGUUUUUAUCAAUUAUUUGAAUCUCUUAUUCUUUAAUGAUACAAUAUUUAUUUAUAUUUUUAAAAAGAUAUUUAGAAAUAAAAGUUGAUAUAAUUUUUAGAAAAAACAUAAUGAGUUGAAAUCUAACUCUGGAUUCAAUUCUCUUUCUAAAAACUUUCAAAUGCAAUUAUGUGGAUAUUGGAGGGAAUUUUCUUUUUAAAAUAAAUGCAAUUUCAUUUGUCAAAUUUGGUCGAAGUUUAGUAUAAAUUCUCACUGAAUCUCACAUGAAAUCUGGUUAAUUAUAAAUUAUUGAUUAGGUUUAAAGAUUGUUGAAAGAUUUUUGAUAAAUUUAUAUCCCUUUCACAAUACGAUUUCUUUGAUUUUUUAUAUUUUGUUUUUACCACAUGAAUCAUGUGCUCCAACAUUUAUUUUGAUUUGCAGUAAGCAAUUAUUUGAAAAGUUAGAAUGAUUAAAGUCUCAAGAAAUAUUUUAUAUUUUGCAUUUGCCAGAUGAAUCAUGUGACGAGAGACAUUAUUAUUAUGGUUUGCAGUAAGCAAUGAUUCAAGUGUCAGUGAUAGACAGUCACAGCUCAUCUAUUGGAGACUCGAGAGUGCUCCAAAGUUGACAAAAGAUCACUUUCACUCUCCCAUUAGUGCAAGACGAAACAAUUAAUUAGGAAGAAAUGGACUUUGAAAAAGAACUAAACCUCAAAAGUUAACUUUUAUAUUACGUUUUAUAAAUUUCAAAAAUUUGGUUAUCAACUUAAAUAAAAGUAAAUCUAGAAGUUAACUCUUAUAUUAUGUUUUAUAAAUUUUAAUUUUUUUUUAUCAAUUUAAAAAUUUAAAAUGGACUUGAGAAAAAUAUUAAGUUUGAAAAUUAAUUUUUAUACUACGUUUUAUAAAUUUAAAAACUUAUUUAUUGACUUAAAGUUCAAAAUGAACUUAAAAGAAAAUAAGCCUGAAAAGUUAACUUUUAUAUUACGUUUUAUAAAUAAAAAAUUUGUUUAUCAACUUAAAGUUUAAAAUGGACUUGAAAUAAAUAAAAAAGGUAAGCUUGAGAAAUUAACUUUUAUAUUACUUUCUAAAAAUUUAAAAAAUUAAAUUUGAGAAGUUGACUUUUAUAUUAUGUUUAUAAAUUUUUAAAAUUUGUCAAUCGACUUAAAAUUUAACAUUGUAUUGAAAGUAAAGUGAAAUGAAAAAACUAAAAAAAAAAAAAGAAAAAUAAGAAAGGAAUUUAAAGUAAAUAGUUUCUUUUUUAAUCUUUUUAUGUUUCAAAGGAGGGGAAAAGAAAAGAAAAAGAUUUUUCUAAAAAAAUUUGAUUAUUAUUAGUUGUUUAUUUAUAUGUUGUGCGACUACUAUUAUUAUUUUAAUUAUAUAUAUUUUUAAUUUAUAAUAUUUAAAUUUGAUUUUUUAAAGAUAUUUAGAUAUAAAAUUUAAUUAAUACUGAAUAAAAUAUUUAUAAUAAUAAUUCAAUUAAAUGCUAUGUUUGGUUGAAAUGUAUUAAAAAUUUAUUUUAUUUAAAAAAAAAUAUAAAAAGUAUAAAAUAAAAUAAAUAAAAUUAAAGAAAAUAUUUUAGAUAUUAUGAAAUAUAUUGACAAACAAAUAUGGAAUUCAUUUUAAAAUUCUAGCUAUUUUUUUAGAAUUUAUUUUAGUUAUAACCAAUUCUGCAGAAAUUUAAUUAUAUAAAAUUUUUUAAAUUAAUUUUUAUUUUAUUCAAAAUAAAGAAUUUUUAUAUUUGUAAAUGAAUAAUAUAUUUUUAUGAAUUUCAAUCAAACACAAUAUAAAAUAUAAUUGAUAAUAUUUUAUGUAAGAGGAGAGAAUUUUGUUAAGUUAUUUAUUAAUAUAUUGAUUACAUCUAUAUAAACUAAUAUUAAAAAUAUAAUUAAUAGUUUUCUAGUAUUAAAAUUAUUUUUUAACUGAGAAGAUAAUUUAUUAGCUAAUAAGUUAUUUUUUUAAAAUUAAAAUGGAAAAGUAAUAUAUUAAUUAAUAUAUUAAUAAUAAUUCAAAUAAAAGAAUUACAAUUCAAAAAAAUAAAAUUACAAAUCAACAUAAAAUUGAUGUACCAAAAAUGAGUACAUAUUUUAUAUGUCAAAACAUAAAUGUCUUAAAAGAAUAUAUAAAUAUGUAUAUAUAAAUUCUGCCCUUCACUUAUGUAAAUAAUAACAAUAUAAAAAUCUAUAAUUGUAUAACAAUUUAGAAGGAAAAUAUAUAAAUUUAUUUAAUGUACUUAUAUAAUCCUCUUUCCUCAAGCUUUCACUCAGAAAGAUUUAGGGAUAAAAUUUUGUUAAGAUCAGGUGAUUAUAUUUCAUUGAUAGGGACUUUCCUUAUCUUUUGUCUCUUGACUCUUUCAAACCGAAAAAUUCAUUCCCUCACCUUUCUAUUCUAUUUUCUUUCUCCAGCUUCUUCGACCUAAACUCUUUCUCAUUGUCUUAGUUUUGUGUUUGCUUGUGUUUCUUUUAUCUUUUCUAAGACUUUAGGUACUGUCCUUCCUCCUUUCUUUGACUAGAUCUGAAAGUUAAUAAAACCAUAAAGAUAUUUUUUUUUUUCGGUAAUAAGAGCAGGGCAACGCCCAAAAAGACAAGGAAAAAAAAUCAAGAAACAAUAUCCCUAAAAUACCCGAAGCCAAGAUAAUAAGCUAGCAAAAGACUAAAUAUUCCUACAGGAGGAUAAUCAUAAACAGUAACUCCCAAGACUUGAUUUGGAGCAGAGUGGGCAAGCCAGUUAGCACAAAAGUUUGCUUCCCUAAACACAUGUGAACAUUUCACAGUUCACCUCUUAUUCAAUAAGAACCUAAUCUGCACCGCAAGAGACUGGAAAUUCCCUACUAAGGAAGAAUUUCCAGAUAUUGCAGCAAUAACCUCAGUUGAGUCACACUCCAAUUCGACAUGUUUGUAGCCCAGCUCCCAAGCUAAUUUGAGACCAUUCAAAACACCCCAACAUUCUGCUUCGAGAGCAGAACACGAACUGAUCAUAUGAGAAUAGCCUUUAAGCCAAUUUUCUGCACAAUCAUUCACCUUCAGCAAACGCUAGACCAGUUACAUGGUCAAGAGCUCCAUCAGAAUUUAACUUCACAAAACCUGAAGCAGGGGGACACCAACGAAUCAGAAUAUUAGUGUCGACAGAAGGACGGUGCAAUACUCAAAGGCCGACAACACUCCUCGCUGGCAAGUAACACCAAAAAUAAGAUUCCACAUAUAACUAGUGGUGUCAACAGAAGUUUUAACAGAUAAGUUAGGAAAAAGCCAGUCAUCAAGAGAAUGGGAGAGAAAUAUAGAGUGCUCAGAAGUAGGUAACAAAUAGUUCCAAAUAGUUGCUGAGCCUAUUUUGUGCAGCAAUCCAAGGAAGGUUUGAAUUCUAAGAGGGCCUCUCCGUCUUCAGAUAAGCUUCCAGAAAUGCUCCUUGUUAGAAGAAUCAAAAUCCAUAAUUAGAUUAUAAGAGGAUACCAAAACUUUUCCAGAGGUGGAAAAAUCCCAACAAGGCACAUCAUCAUCUUGAGCUCCAUUAGGCGGUGGAGUACCAGCAAUCUUAAUGCAAACAAAGUUUGGCAAAAGAUGUUGAAAAUCACUCCAAUUCCAACCACUUGGCAAAGAAACAAAAGCAGCAAUAGGGAGGUUUUGCAUAGAAAUUGGAAUAUCCACCAUAGCAACAAAACAUAGAGGGCCAACCCCAUCAACCCAAUUUUCAGUCCAAAAUUUUUUAACUCUAAGCCCAUUGCCGAUACUCUAAGAUAAACCCCUCAUUAUAUGAGUCCAAACAGAGCAGAUUUCACGCCAACGUUUGAUGAUCCGGGCUUAGCAACCGUGUUAGGUUGUAAAAGAGGACGCCCCACAUACUUACUCAUCAGAACCCGAACCAACGGAGCAUCAGGCUUGACAAAUAUAUUUCAAUCAAGUCUCGUGAGCAACACCUGAUUUGAAAUAAAAGCUUGUCUCAAUCCCAAAUGUUAUGAAUAGAUCAAGCUUAAAGCAUAAAGAUAAUGGGCUUGAUGAAGAAAACCAACAAAUAAAAAAUAUUAAGAUUAUCAAUUAUGGGCUGGACUUGCCACAAGGUCCAAUAAUAAGGUCUAGAGCGAAGAAGCUACAAAAAAACCUUAAAUGGCUUCUUCCAAGCAUAGGCCAACAAAGAAAGUUCAUUUGAAGGUCCAAGAUCCACAAUCAUUGGAGACAUUAAGAUUAGACCUUAUACAAUCUUAUUAAGGUCCAAUUCCAAAGAGAACAAAGCAAGGCCGAAAUCCAUGACCCAUGAAUUUAAAAAUAGAAUAAACUUUGUUUAGUUAAGAGAUAUUUUAACAUUUUCAUGUUUAAGUUGUCUUCUAAGAUUUUGUUUUAGUAUACAAAAACAAGUCCUAGCUAAAUUCAUUCUCAGAUUUGGGGAUGAUAAUUAAAUUGAUGUUUGUUUUAUUCAAUCUUGCUUGAAUUCUUUUAUUUUUGUUGAAUGCAUAUAACAUUUAUCAUCUUUGUGGUGUGCUAGGAUUAGGAUUUAAAGGCUUGAUUUCCUUUAAGUUCUAAUUCCUAAUUGAUCAUUCAUAAUCUGAUUUAGAGUUGAUCUUAGGGUUUGAAUUCAAUUUGCUAUAGGAUUUGUAUGUUAGUAUUAUACGAGUUCGUAACUGAAAAAAGGUGGUUCGUAUAAUCUAUUCACAUAGGUUCAUAACAUUUGGUAUCAAAGUUGGGCUCUUCAAAUCAAAUUGCUUAUCUGUAUUUUCAUGUUCUUUCAUUAGUUUGUUAUUCUUAUUCAUUGAAUUUCAGAUUCGGUUUCCAUAAGAAAAAAAAAAAAAGAGAAAUCUGAAAUCUUGAACAAAUUCUAAAAUCUUGUUUGUUUUCUUCAAGUUCUUGUUGUUGAAUCUGACUUUGUGUGUGUUUGAUUGCUGAUUUUCGUUUAUGCAAGUAUAGUGGAGUGUUUCUAGGCUAAAAUUAAGAGAACUCCUAUUUUUAAGGGGUUAUUAGUUGGCAAAUCAGGUUAGGACUUGGAUUUCUUAAUCUAAAGGGAAUUAGAUUGAUUUUGAGGCUGUUUUAAGAGAUAUAAUUAGAGAAUACGAAUUUGAAAGGGAUAAACACCAUAUAUAUUCCAUUCAAAUCAGAUUUAAUCAUUCAAAACCUAAUUAUUAUCCUUCUUUAUCCUGUUGAACGGGUUGUCGAAGCCCUUUAAAAUAAAUUACUGAUUUUUCUAAACUAACUUAUAGAAAUAGUGAAACUAGGUCGAAUCCCAAGGCAACCAAUGUGGAUAGCUUCUUAAAAUUAAAUAAAAAUGGAAGGAUUUUGAAUGUUUGAACCAAAAUUAUAAAUAAAUAGAAAAUAAUGAAGGCUGAAUAUUAAAGUAAAUAAAAAUCAAUCUUAACAAAUGUCCAAUUCAAGAGUGCUAAUUCCAUCCAAUUGUAAUCAUGAUCAUAGGCUUAAAUAUCAAUUUUUCUAUUCAAGUACUUAGUCUACUUAUUCAGAAAAGCCACAACAAGUGUAAAUUCUCCUAAUAUAAUUGGCUCAAACCCAGCAUCCAAAUCAAAACUUACCAUUAGUCAACUGGGCAAGAUAGCAUUUCAUAUCAACUCAAUGAUAGCAUUAAGAAUAAUGAGAAUGACUAAAGCAACAUUAAUUAAUCGAGAUAGCUGCAAUUGAAUUAACCUUGUUCCUUUAUUUCCCUAGAGCCUAUCAUGCAAGCUUUGUAAUUUGAAAAGGCUGCAAUCGCACACAUAUGAGCCAGCUCCUUGCUACUUGUGUCAAUCGUUCAUGACAAUUACGGAUCACAAACUCAAAGUUUAGCAAUAGAAAAAUCAAUAUCAAAAUUGAGUCAUCAGUUCAAUCAAUAUCAAAAAUUCAUAAAUAAUAAAAAUAAGAAAUAAAAAAUACUUGAAUUAAAGAAGAAUUCUAUUAAGCACAAAGUCUCACAAAAUCACAAUUGGAAUUUAUUCACUCUUGAAUCAAAAAGCAAAAGCUUAGCCACACAUGAUGGAGUAAAAAUUCACAAGAAAAGAAUUGUAUGGAAUAGAAGAAGAACAAUAAUAAAUAAUCAAAGCACUCUCCAGAGGAAGCUUCUUCUUCUUUUUCCUUGCUCGGUUCACUUUUCUUAAGUGGAAUCGACCCUGAAGGAAUCUCCUUUCCACUUCUUAGAAAAAUUGCAUUAACAUUCUUCUUUAGAUUUAUCUUUGGUUGUGAAGGUAGUUUUCCAGAAUUUUGAGCCUCCAAUUUACUAACCGACAUAGCCAAUUGAGUAAUUUGAUUGCCUAAAUUCUGAAUGAUUGACCUUGUUUCUUAUUGAAAUUGAAGAUUAUUAUUAGCAAGAUUUUUAACAAUAUCUUCCAAAGACAUACCUGAAUUUGAAGCUUGAGGUUUUGGAGAACUUGAGGUGGUCUAAUGAAAUUCUGGAAGGAUAAUUUUGUUGUCCUCCUUGGUUUACAUAGCUCAAAUUCGAGUGAUUUCUCCAUCCAGGAUUACAUUGAUUGGAAAAGGGAUUAUAUUUCCUUUGAGGUUGACCAGUAAACCUGCCUAAAGCAUUAGCCUCUUGCAUCAAGUCUUGUUGCAAUGUUGGGCACAUAUCAGUGGGAUGUACUUGAACUGAGCAGAUUCCACAAACUUGCAAUUGCUCUACAGCCAUUUGACGAACCAAAGUAGUUAAAUCAGAGAUUUGAUUUUCAAGAUUUUUAGUGCCUACCUCAUUAACUCGCCUAGUAUCUCCAUAAGCUCUUGUACCAAAUUGUUGUGAAUUUUCAGCCAUGUUUGAAAUCAAUUGCUUGUCUUGUCUACCAAAGCUCCACCACUUGCUGCAUCAAUUAUACUCCUAUCCAUUGGCAAUAAUCCUUCAUAGAAGUAUUAGAUUAAGAGUUGAUGAGAAAUUUGGUGAUGGGGGCAACUAGCACAUAGUUGCUUGAACCUCUCCCAAUACUCGUACAAUAUUUCUCCAAUGAACUGUGUUAUGCCAUAAAUUUCUUUUCUGAUGUUGGCAGCUCUUAUUGCAGGGAAAAACUUAUCUAAGAACAAUCUUUUCAUCUCAUUCCAUAUUGUUAUUGAACCGAAGGGUAGAUAAUAUAGCCAAUCUUUUACCUUAUCCUUCAAAGAAAAGGGAAAAGCUCUAAGAUUUAUUUGCUCUUUGGUCACACCAUGUGGCUUCAUUCCAGAGCAUACAAUAUGGAAUUCUUUCAAGUGUUUAUGAGGAUCUUCACCUGCACAUCCACGAAAAGAAGGGAGUAAGUGAAUUAAGCGAGAUUUUAAUUCAAAAUAAACUAUAAUAUUAGGAAAUGUAAUGUAUAAAGGUUGUUGAUUUAAAUCCGGCACGGCUAGCUCUUUGAGGGUUCUGUUCGCCGUAUUUUCUACAACUUCUUGAAACAUAGAUGUGUCACCAACAACAAAAUCUAUCUCCAAUUUCUUUAUGUGACAACUUUUUCUUUGCCUAGUCUCCUUUCUUAAUCGACGCGCUUUAUUCUCAAUUUCAGAAUUAUACUGCAAAUUAAUAGAUUGAGAAGAAUGAGUCAUAAACAAACAAAUUAAACAAUGAGAAACUAAAAUAGGUUCCUCGAUAACGGCACCAAAUUUUGAACGGGUUGUUGAAGCUCUUCAAAAUAAAUUACUGAUCUUUCUAAACUAACUUGUAGAAAUAGUGAAACCAGGUCGAAUCCUAAGGGAAUCAAUAUGGAUAGCUUUUCAAAGUUAAAUAAAAAUAGGGGGAUUUUGAAUGUUUGAACCAAAAUUAUAAAUAAACAGAAAAUAAUGAAGGCUGAAUAUUAAAGUAAAUAAAAAUCAAUCUUAUUAAAUUUCCAAUUCAAGAGUGCUAAUUCCAUCCAAUUGUAAUCAUGAUUAUAGGCUUAAAUAUCAAUUUUUCUAUUCAAGUACUUAGUCUACUUAUUCGGAAAAGCCACAACAAGUGUAAAUUCUCCUAAUAUAAUUGAUUCAAACCCAGCAUCCAAAUCAAAACUUACCAUUAGUCAACUGGGCAUGAUAAUGUUCCAUAUCAACUCAAUAAUAGCAUUAAGAGUAAUGAGAAUGAUUGAACCAACAUUAAUUAAUCAAGAUAGCUGCGAUUGAAUUAGCCUUGUUCCUUUAUUUUCCUAGAGCCUAUCAUGCAAGCUAUGUAAUUCGAAAAGGCCGCAAUCACACACACAUGAGGCAACUCCUUGUUACUUGUGUCAAUCGUUCAUGACAAUUACGGAUCACAAACUCAAAGUUUAGCAAUAGAAAAAUCAAUAUCAAAAUUGAGUCGUCAGUUCAAUUAAUAUCAAAAAUUCAUAAAUAAUAAAAAUAAGAAAUAAAGAAUACUUAAAUUAAAAAGAAUUUUGUUAAGCACAAAGCCUCACAAAAUCAGAAUUGGAAUUUAUUCACUCUUGAGUCAAAAAGUAAAAGCUUAGCCACACAUGGCAGAGUAAAAAUUCACAAGAAAAGAAUUAUAGGGAAUAGAAGAAGAACAAUAAUAAAUAAUCAAAGCACUCUCAGCCGUCCUCUUCUUUGUAGAACUAGCCUCCUUAUGUAGGAAGUCAAACCUAAACCCUAAUAAGAUAAUCCUUAUCCAAAAAGAAAUAAAUUUCCUAUAUGAUCUUAAUCCUAUAAGGAAUGAUAAGAUAAAGGGUAAUCUAAACAAAUAAAAAUCCUAUAUAAUAUGGGAGUAAGUUUUCCUUAUAAAGAAAAUAACAUAAAAGUGGGUAUUUAACUAAAAAUUCAAAAUUCUUUUCUACAUAUUCCAGCAGCUCACAAAUUGUAAGGCGUGGUCACGCCUUAUUGAAAAUGACCUUCUGCAUAAAUUUUUGCUCUUCCUACAAAAGACUUGGUUUUUUACAAGUGAUGCUUUAAAACAUGUCUUUAGGCUGAAUUUCACUCAAUCCUUGAUAUUUCACCACCUAGAUCAGAAUAAACACAAUUUCCACAAUUAAGCACAUUAUCCAAUCAAAAUGUAAGGGAAUUAAACACAAUAAGAAUAACUAUUUAUGAUCUAUCACUUAUUUCUCUCUUACAAGUGUUCUUGGGUAGAUUUUAAGCAAUUCAACGGACACAGGGCAUACUCAAUCCUAGAAUGAAUUUUUUUAUUGCAAUUGAUUGCCAAACUGAUAUAUGAUUGGUGAUACACCAUUAUUUCUGGAUUGAAAGCUGUUUGGAUUGGAAGAACACGGUAACUUAGAAUUUGAUUUUACGGUAGCAUUAUUCAUAAUCGAUUUCACAGUUGAAUUAGGUGACGAGUCUAUACUUGUUUCGAAGGAAAUGACGAUAUGAUCAAGACUAGUGAAUUUGGAUUCACUAGCCCCCACCCUCUCCAGGUUAAAUUCCAUCGUUCACUAGGAUUUUUGGCUUUUUUUUGUAUUUUUAGUAAUACUUUUCUUUUAUCUUUGAGCUGUUUUAGGUUUGCUCUUCAUAUGUCCUUUGUUCUUUAGUUUUUUUCUAGGUGUUUUAAGGUAUUACAAGUAGUUUUUGUGUCUUUUUGAUUGCUGGUCACGUUGCUUCUUACCUUUUUAUUGUUUCCUUUAAUAUUAAUUUUUGCAUCUAGUUGUUUUCUUUCACUUGUCCUUUGCUUCACUUUGAGUUUUUGUUCAUUGACUUCUAAUUUUCUUUCAAGCGCACCAUACACUUGCAAUUUCUUCAAUAUAUACGGUUUUGCAUCAAUUAAGUGUUUGAAUUUUGAUUCUAGUAUGUUGCAACGACUGUGAUUAGAUUUUUGUGUGGUUUUAUUUGAUUUAAUCAGAAUAUUUAAAAACAAGCUUGAGUGGUGUGAGGUUAACCCGUGAGUGUAUUCAUUGUUUAUGUCAAACAGGAGUGCCCACCUUCAUUUUUGAGAGCAAACAGUGACGGAGUGUGUGUGAGGUCUAUUAAAUUUGUAUUUUCUUAUUGUUGCAGGUAUGUCAUUCGGUUCUAAUACUCAUUAUGAGACCAGAAUAACACAUGAUUAUAUUCCAUUAGCAGAAAUGCCAGCUAAUAGAGGACACAAAGGAACAUUACAAACCUUAAUGACCGAAUAGAAAGAUUAGAGGUGGAGUUGCGCAAUGAAAGUGUGGAAAUUGAAGAUGAGAUGACUAGAACUUUGGAAGCUAAUCAAAGAGCUUUGCUUAAAUAAUUUGCUGCAUUAAAGAGAAACGUGGGAAAUAGGCAAGAUGUUAGGGCUGAAGCACCAAAUAUGGGUGUGAAUGCACAAAAUUUAGGUGUGCACAAUUAUGGGCAGCCCCAAUACAUGUGGCAUAGUGAGUACUUUGAUCAAGAGGAUGAUGAGUUUGGUGUGGGCAAAGGUCCUAAAAGAAACCCUGCUUUUGGUAGAUAUGGAGGCACUUACAAUAGGAAUGAGUACAACAAUGAUGAUGUGGACCGAAAUUUAGGCAGCAUCAAAUUUAUUAUUCUGAACUUUGCUGGUAGAACUGACCCUGAAGCCUAUCUAGAGUGGGAGAAAAGGGUAGAUCUCAUAUUUGAUUGCCAUAAUUUUUCUGAUGAGAAGUAACUAAAGUUAGUGGUUAGCCAUUUUAUAAAGUAUUCAAUUUUAUGGUUAGACCAGAUGUUAGUGAGUAGGAGAAGAAAUGGGGAAAGAGCCUAUCAAUAGUUGGGUGGCUCUUAAGUUUGUUAUGAAGAGGAGGUUUGUACUUAUGCAUCACCAAAGGGAGUUGUACCAAAAACUCCAAUACUUGAGACAAGGUACAAAAAGCAUAGAGAAUUAGAUAGGGAUGUUGAUGGCUAUAUUAUUUUUAUAGGAGGAGAUGGAGGCCACAAUGUCACGUUUUCUUAGGGCCAUGUACAAGGAGAUUAUUGAUCUCGUUGAGUUAUAAGAUUAUGUGGAGAUAGAUGAGAUGGUACACCUUGCUAUAAAAAUAGAAAGAUAACUCAAAACGAGGUGGAAAACAAAGGGAGAGUCUAAACCGAAUUGGUCUUCAAAUUCGAGUUCAAAAUCAAAUUGGGGAAAUAAUUCCAAUACCAAACCGAAUUGGUGCAAUGACACCAAAGGAGGUAAAUUUGAUGCUAACAAGUCUAUUUUGCAGGUACCUCAAGCAAAAAGGAGUGGUUGAUCUAAGGGGAACCUAUAAGACCGAGCCACAUAAGUAAAGAAACUGAGACAUCAAGUGUUUUAAGUGCUUGGGCAGUGGACACAUUGCUUCUCAAUGUCCAAACAUAAGGACACUGAUUGCUUCAGAUUAUGGAGAUAUUAAGACUGAAGGUGAGAGUGAAGGGGAAGAGAUACCACAAGAGCAAGAGAGUAGUGAUGAUGGCAUUCAAGGGCCCAUGAAAGGAGAGCUCUUAGUGGCAAGACGUACACUUAAUACACAUAUAAAGGAUGAAGAUGAUAUGAAGCAGCAAAGAUACAACGUAUUUUACACUAGAUGCCAUGUAUAAGGUAAGACUUGCAACCUUAUUAUUGAUAGUGGUAACUGCACAAAUGUUGCUAGUGUGUCUAUGGUUGAAAAUUAGGUUUGAAAUUGAUUCCUCAUCCUAGACCUUAUAGAUUGCUUUGGUUAAAUAAUUAUGGUGAAAUGAAAGUAAAUAAACAGGUUAUAGUGUCAUUUCAAAUUGCUAGAUAUGCUAAUGAGGUGCUAUGUGAUGUUGUACCAAUGCAUGCUAGACAUAUCCUGUUAGGUAGACUAUGACAAUUUAAUAGGGAAGUGUCUCAUGAUGGCUUUCUUAAUAGGUAUUCAUUUGUAAAAGAUAGGAGGAAAGUUACCCUAACACCUCUUUCUCCCAAGGAAGUGUAUGAUGAUCAAUGUAAGAUUGAAAAAGAGAGAGUAGAGGCUGAAAAUGUAAAGAAAAUACUUGUACCACCUAAAAGUGGUAAAGAUAGUGGCAUUGAGCCUAGUGAGAAACCCAAGGUGAAAAAGGGUACUUUCUUAGCUAGGGACAGUGAUAUUAGGCCUACAUUACAUACUAAUAGAAUAGUAUUUUUUAUUACUUAUAAAGAUGUUUGUUUGAACACUACUAAUGCACUUGAUCAUGCCUUGCCAAGAGAAUUUGUUGAUUUGUUGCAAGAGUCUGAUGGUGUGUUUCUUGAGGAGAUGCCGAGUGGUUUACCACUUGAAAGAGGAAUAGAACAUCAAAUAGACUUCAUGCCAGGGGCUGCCAUACCAAAUAGACCAGCCUAUAGAAGCAAUCCAGAUGAGAUAAAGGAGCUUUAAAGAUAAGUCAAUGAGCUGAUGUCGAAAGGGUAUGGGAGGGAAAUCUUGAGUCCAUGUGCGGUUCCAGUGAUUUUGGUACCCAAAAAAGAUGGAACAUGGAGAAUGUGUAUGCACUAACCGUGCAAUCAAUAAAAUAAUAGUAAAGUAUCGUCAUCCUAUUCCUAUGUUAGAUGAUAUGAUUGAUAAGUUGCAUGGUGCAUGUGUAUUUACUAAGAUUGAUUUGCAUAGUGGAAACCAUCAAAUUAAAAUGAAAUCAUAUGAUGAAUGGAAAACGACAUUUAAGACCAAGUAUGUGUUGUUUGAGUGGUUGGUCAUGCCUUUUGGACUUACAAAUGCACCUAGUACUUUCAUGAGAUUAAUGAAUCAUGUCCUGCGUGAGUUUCUUGGUAAAUAUGUGGUUGUAUAUUUUGAUGACAUUUUGAUUUAUUCUAGAUCAUUAAAUGAACAUGUCAUGCAUGUUAGGGCUAUUUUAGAUAUUCUUCAAAAAGAGAAGCUUUAUGCUAAUCUUAAGAAGUAUAGUUUUUGUUCAGAUAGCGUCAAUUUUCUUGGUUUUAUUGUUGGUAUGCAUGGUGUGGAGGUGGAUAGUGAAAAGGUAAAGGCUAUUCAAGAACAGCCGAAACCUACUAAUGUGAGUCAAGUAAGGAGUUUUCAUGGUUUGGCUAGUUCUUACAAGAGGUUUAUUAAGGACUUUAGCACCCUUGCUGCACCCUUGAAUGAACUAGUCAAAAAGAAUAUUGUAUUCCAUUAGGGUGAUGCAUAAGAACAUGCUUUUAAUUUGCUUAAGGAUAAAUUUUGCAAUGCGCCGUUGCUAGUUUUGCCUAACUUUAAUAAGAUUUUUGAGAUUGAAUGUGAUGCUAGUGGUGUUGGAAUUGGGGCUGUUUUGAAGCAAGAAGGGCGGCCUAUAUGAUUCUUUAUUGAGAAUUCAAUGGAGCAGCCUUGAACUAUCCUACAUACGCCAAUUUGUUAUUUGCUUUGCUUUGUGCACUUCAAACAUGGCAGCAUUACUUGUGGCCAAAAGAGUUUGUUAUACACACGGAUCAUGAAUCCUUGAAGCAUCUAAGAGGCAAGAUAAGUUGAAUAGAAGACAUGCAAAGUCGAUGGAAUUUAUAAAAACAUUUCAUAUGUGAUCAAGUACAAGAAAGGUAAGGAUAAUGUGGUUGUUGAUGCACUUUGGCGAAGGUAUGCACUUCUUAAUACUCUUAAUUCUAAGUUAUUAGGUUUUGAGUAUAUAAAAGAGUUGUAUAUAGAUGAUGUUGAUUUUGGUAAAGCGUAUAGCACUUGUGUUAAUGGGAAUGCAUUUGAUGCCUUUUAUGUCUUUGAUGGGUAUUUGUUUAAAAAGAAUAGGUUGUGUGUGCCUUACUAUUCUUUGCAUGUGGUUGAUUAAUGAGACACAUGAGGGUGGUUUGAUGGGUCAUUUUGGAGUUGAUAAGACUUAUUCUAUUUUAUGUGAUCAUUUCUUUUGGCCUGGUAUGAAAUGCAAUGUUCAAAAUAUUUAUAGCAAAUGUGUUGUUUGCAUGCAAGCAAAGUCUAAAUUAAAACUCCAUGGUUUAUGUGCACCUUUACCUGUUCCUGAAAUGCCAGGGGUUGACUUAUCUAUGGAUUUUGUGCUUGGCUUGCCUAGAACUAGGAUUUUUAUUGUUGUGGAUCGUUUUAGUAAGAUGGCUCAUUUCAUUCCUUGUCAAAAAACAGAUGAUGCAUGUCAUAUUGCUGAUUUGUUCUUUCGGGAAGUUGUGCGUUUGCAUGGUAUACCUAGAACUAUUGUUAGUGAUAGGGAUGUGAAGUUUUUAAAUCAUUUUUGGCGUGUUCUUUAGGCUAAAUUAGGUACUAAGUUGCUGUUUUCUACUACUUGUCAUCCUUAAACAGAUGGCCAAACUGAGGCAGUUAAUAAAACUAUGGUGCAGUUGCUUCGUACUUUGAUUUCUAGGAAUCUUAAGUCUUGGGAGGAUUUAUUACCAUAUGUUGAGUUUGCAUAUAAUAGGGUUGUUCAUAGCACUACACAUACUUCACCAUUUGAGGUAGUCUAUGGUUUUAAUUCUUUGACUCUUAUUGAUUUAAUUCCUUUUCCUAAUAAUAAUCUUGUGAGUGAUGAUGGUGUUUCUAAAGCAGAUUGGGUAAAGACCAUGCACAAGCAAGUGAAGGAAAGGAUUGAGAAGCAAAACACAAGGACAACCGAGAGGGUGAACAAAGGGAGACGGUUGGUUGUGUUCAAGCCUGGUGAUUGGAUUUGGGUUCAUUUUCGAAAGGAAAGGUUCCCAAAUCAAAGGAAUUUGAAGUUUAGUCCAAGGGGUGCUGGUUCAUUUCAAGUGGUGGAAAGAAUCAAUGAUAAUGCCUACAAGAUCGAUUUAUAAGGUGAGUAUAAUGUAAAUGGUACAUUAAAUGUGGCUGAUUUAGCUCCUUUUGAUGUAGGUGAUGAGAUUGAGCUUGAUUCGAGGAUGAAUCAUCCUAAUGAAGGAGGGAAUAUUAUGGAUAGAUCAAGCUUAAAGCAUAAAGAUAAUGGGCUUGAUGAAGAGGAUCAACAGACAAGGAAGGCUAGAAUUGUCAAUGAUGCGCUGGACUUGCCACAAGGUCCAAUAACAAGGUCAAAUCAAAGUGUCGAUCCUGUGUUGCUAACCAUCAAUCUGACAUUGCCAGUCGUCCAUUUGCCCUUGUAAGAUCUCAUGGUCUCUUUGAGGAAAACCCAAAGGAGAUUAGUUAGUAUAUGUGCAUACAUGCAUACAUACUACAUUUUAUAAUACAUUUUUGUUGUUACCCACCAGUCCUCGCUAAGGAUAAAGAAUUGCCUCCUCGUAGCGCCGACCUAUCGGUGUACAUGCUAGAAUUGGUCUCUUUGAACCUGUGUAAUUACUACUAGGUGUUAUUAUAUUUUUAGGAAAAGAAAUGUAAAAAUGCAAUGGAGAAUGUUACUUACAUGUGUAUAAGUACUCGGAGUAAACUCCAAUGGGAGGCAGUUCUACAUGGCAAGUUGGUGCUUUAUCGCACCAUGAGGACUCCAAUAUGAUAGCAUCGGAUCUGGGAGAAAUGUGACUCCUUAGAAUCACGUCCGACGUGGCCGUAGGAGGUGCUUCGGAGGCAACACCAGUAAAGGAACCCGAUGGGAGGGCCUGGAGCAUUGGGCAUAUCGCCCCUCGGUCGGCUUUAGAGCAGUAGGGGCAUAAUGGAUGAACUACAAACAAAAUGGUUGGAUAGAUAAGCAAAAUAAGGAAAGCGUAGUCCAUCCUUCGAGACCGGAUGAUGAGAUCCUCAUGCUCAUCAUAUCCCGCUAAAGAUGUCGCUAGCUCCUCCCCAGCAAGAUCCAUUAUCCAAAAUAUAGAGAGAGGUGGANNNNNNNNNNNNNNNNNNNNNNNNNNNNNNNNNNNNNNNNNNNNNNNNNNNNNNNNNNNNNNNNNNNNNNNNNNNNNNNNNNNNNNNNNNNNNNNNNNNNNNNNNNNNNNNNNNNNNNNNNNNNNNNNNNNNNNNNNNNNNNNNNNNNNNNNNNNNNNNNNNNNNNNNNNNNNNNNNNNNNNNNNNNNNNNNNNNNNNNNNNNNNNNNNNNNNNNNNNNNNNNNNNNNNNNNNNNNNNNNNNNNNNNNNNNNNNNNNNNNNNNNNNNNNNNNNNNNNNNNNNNNNNNNNNNNNCUGUAACUAGAAAGUAAGUAACUUUAUACAUAAAUUACAAAUAAGACUGAUAAAUUUUUGUUUACCUUAUCCUAGGUUAGAAAGUUGAUCCACAUGUGGUGCACGUGAAUUUGUGCCUAUUCUAAUGAGACGCUCCUACUCGAGCCCAAAAGACUCAAGCGAGGGAAGGCUCGUGAUGUACACAUGGGCCAUAAGCCCAUCAGAAGGCCGAUCUCUAAGGCCUAAAAAUCAGUAGUUGUGAUGAAAAUAAGAGGGGAAAGGGCAUAAAUGAAAAAGAUAGAGUGGAACUUAUGUGCACAGCAUGCCAAAAGCCGUAAAUCCUCUUACUCUCACGGAUGGUAAUGUCCAUCUAAUGGUAUAGAUAAGCGAGAGCUGCAGAUCUUUAAGUGUAGGACAAGACCUGGUCCAAAUCCUUAGAGAGGCCAAAUAAUGGAAGUUUAGUGAAUUUCUUGAGUCACGGAACAAGAUGGUCCCGAAAAGAUAUACCAAGAAGGCCUAAGCCAUUUGAUCCACCUCUUAAGCAUUCUAAGGCAUGAAGCCUCUGUAAUGGAGGGGAAUGCUCUAAUAAGCAAUAAGCGGGUGUUCUUGCACGCCAGCAAGAAUCCAACAACUCCACGAUAUAGCGCUCCAGACAUCGAAAUGCUGAUCAUGAAUGGCGUCAUCAAAGGGGACAAGGAUACUCAAGAAGUCUAUCCUUAUGGUAGCAAUAAAAGAGAAAGAAGACAAUGUUAACUCACCGAUCAGGGAAUGGAAGGUUUGGGUGGUGUCCAUCCACCACUCAAGUAACGCGUAUAUAGAAGUAUGACUUGUCCUCCUAAUAAUGGAUGAAAGUGUACCUAAAAACUGAAGAAAGCCGGUGUUAUCGAUCCUAGCCUAAACAAAACUUUGGAGCUCGUCAAACUACUCACAGGCCCCGUAAAAGUUUUCGACAAACUGGAUCGACACAAUGAUGUGCGUAGAAUACACACAUCUAAAUAGGGAUUUUAAGGCAGAAUUUAUGUACAUUUGGAUGUGAAUUGGUCCCAACACUCACCCUAUGCAUUUGUUUGUGUGCUUUAGGUCCAAAAGAAGUCAAAGAGUGAUAAAGGGAAGAAUUGGACGUCAAAGUUGCCGAAACAAGUCGAGUUUACGCAUCCCUAAUCUGAACAUGGCCGUGUUGGUUUCAACACUGGCCGUGUUCCCAACACGUGCACCAACACGGCCGUGUUGGUGCAUCAAACAUCAAAGAAACAGAAGUUUUAGGGAGCACGGCCACAGAGAGUGACACGGGCAUCAACACCAGCCCGUGUUGGGAACACGGCCUUGUUGGCGGCGAGAGGGGGAAUUAGUUAAAAGAAAGAAGAGAGGAAAGAAAGAAAGAAGAGCGGGGGAGAACGUCCCAAACCCUAACUUUUCUCUCCCUAAGGGUUUUCUGAGCUAGAACUAAGGGAAAAUGAGACUUGGAUCAAGGUUUCAAUCGGUUUCCCUUCAAGGAUUGAAGAUUGGGCAAGGUUCGUUGAUUGGUUUUCAAAUCGAGCAAGAGGAAUAAGAAUCGAUUCAAUUCGAGCAAGAGGAAUUGGGGCUGUUUACUCUCAUCCCAGGGUGUAAUCCGAUUUCUCUACCUUUACUCUUUGUUGUAAUUGUAUUCUUGUGUAUUUUGAUAAUGAACAUGAUUAGCUAGACUGAUUAAAUCCAUUGGUAUUUCUUUACUAUGUUGGCUUAGUAUUAUAUUAUUGGAUUGCUUGGGUUAGUUUUAUAUUCUUCUUCCUUUCAAUAUUAAUAAGAUAAUGCAUCAUUCAUGAGACGUUGUGAAUUGUGUGUUUAGAUUGCUUUGUGUGAUUGAGAAGUCCAUUUGGCAAUUGGAAUUUUGAAUAGCAAGAACUGGUUAAUAAUCGCUUAGAAAUAAGGAUAAUUAACUAGCCAGAUUAGGAAUUAACAAAGCUUAAUAGAGGCGGAUUAAAGCUUAAUGCUAAUUUAAGAAUCAAUCGUUAGGAAAAGAUUCCAACUUUAGGUUAUUAGGUUUAGGAAUUCGGUUGUCUCGAGAGAGAAACCGAAUUCGGUUAAGAAUUCAUCCACGGGUAGCAUAAUUAGACUCACCAAUCCUUUAUCUUUUGUUUGAUUGCCAACUAGUUUAGGUUCCUUUUGGGUUUGCUUUCUUGUCUUGGUUAUUUUAGUUAUCAAUUACUCCUGCAUCUCCCUUAGAACUUAGCUUGUAGCUAUUAGUUAGUUUAGAAAUUAUUCAUCAUUAAUUUUAGGUUAAUAUAACAAAGAACAAAGGAGUAACUCUGGGCUUUCACUUUCUCGAGGAAUACGGCCUUGAUACUCGCUAUUAGUGCUAGACUGCAUCGAUAGGUACACUACCUUAGAUUGUAGCUAACACAAGUAGCAAGCAUCAAGUUUUUGGCGCGGUUGCCGGGAAAUGUUUGAAAACUAGAGUGAAAUUUGCUAUUUGUUAAUUUAGCCAUUGUUUUUAAUUUUUAUUUAUAUUUAUUUCUGUUUUGUUUGUACAUAUUUAUUUAGUUAAGUUUAUGAUUCAGAUAGUGGAUGAUAAGGAGGUUCAAUGCUAAACUCUUUGUAUGACACAUUGGAAAAUGGGAUUAGGAACCAAGAGAGUGCUAAAAAUUAGNNNNNNNNNNNNNNNNNNNNNNNNNNNNNNNNNNNNNNNNNNNNNNNNNNNNNNNNNNNNNNNNNNNNNNNNNNNNNNNNNNNNNNNNNNNNNNNNNNNNNNNNNNNNNNNNNNNNNNNNNNNNNNNNNNNNNNNNNNNNNNNNNNNNNNNNNNNNNNNNNNNNNNNNNNNNNNNNNNNNNNNNNNNNNNNNGAGCUUAGAUGGCCAAGAACCACCAGAAUUUCAGCAGCCUAAUCUUGCACCAUCAACUCAAGGUGAAGAGUUAGUGUCAGAGGAGCUGAUGAUGAGGUUUAUUGCAAGUCUUGAGGAUAGAUUCCAACAAAUAGAGAGGAUACUUGAAGAUCAACAAGCCUCGAUUAAGAACAUAGAGCAUCAAGUAGGCUUGAUCUUUAAGUUACUAGCUGAAGAGCAAUUGGGAACUCCAUCAAAUGCUACUGAAUCCGAGGAACACUUGAGCGACGUCACUUUGCGUUCAGGUGAGAAUUUUUUUGGUUUAUCUAUUAUGUUUGAUGAUGAUGCUUUUGUGCAAGAUGACUCUUUGAACAUGGAGAUAGAACCAGAAAAGGAAGAGGCAAACAUGAUCCCUCUGAAAGACUACCAAUAGGAAUGUACAGUUGAUGAUGCUGAGUUGUAGUUAGAGGAAUUUUUGGUGGAUUUUCCACAAGUCCCUUCGAUGAUGGAAGAUGAGCACGAGUUUCUUCUAGCAAGUGAACCAAGCCAAGGACUAGAGAAAACUAUCGACGUUCCUGAAGAAAUUGCCCAACUGUCGAUCCUUCCAAUUGGUGAAACUUCAGCUUUCAAAUUGGAAGAGCCCCUAGAGCAUCAUGACUACGUGCAAUUAUACGAGGAGCGAGUUUUGCCCAUCAUAUUGGCAGCUUGCUUAAUAGCGAGGAAGAGGAAAUUGACGAUUAUCCCUCUAAGCGGAUACUUGAAGCCAUUUGCUUGGAAGAAGGAUGGAUGGUCGUUGAUCACGCCCGUUUGCUUUUCACCAUGAGUCCAGCUAAGAAAACUCAUCACAUCAAAAAGAAGCACUUUUGGGAAGCACCCCAAUUUUUAUCUUUAAUCUCUAAUAUUUUAACCUUUUGUUUUGAAACAUUUUUUUAGUUUUAGUUUUCAUAUUUUAUUUAAUUUUUAUUUCAUUUUCGAUUUUAAUUCUUUAUUUUCUUAUUUGCAGGCACUCCUCUACCACAGACUAGCCAACGCCCUGAUGGGUGCUACUCGUGUUAGCUACAAUCUAAGGAAGUGUACCUAUCGAUGCAAUCUAGCACUAAUGGCGAGUAUCAAGGUCGUAUUCCUCGGGAAAGCAAAAGCCCAGAGUUACUCCUUUGUUCUUUGUUAUAUUAACCUAAAAUGGAUGAUGAAUAAAUUCUAAACUAACUAUUAACUACAAGCUAAGUUCUAAGGGAGAUGCAGGAGUAAUUGAUAAGUGAAAUAAUCAAGACAAGAAGACAAACCCAAAGGAAAUCUAAACUAGUUGGCAAUCAAACAAAAGAUAAAGGAUCAAUGAGUCUAAUUAUGCUACCCGUGGACGAAUUCUUAACCGAAUUCGGUUUCUCUCUCGAGAUAACCGAAUUCCUAAACCUAAUAACCUAAAGUUGGAAUCUCUUCCUAACGAUUGAUUCUUAAAUUAGCAUUAAGCUUUAAUCCGCCUCUAUUAAGCUUUGUUAAUUCUUAAUCCGGCUAGUUAAUUAUCCUUAUCUCUAAGCGAUUAUUAACCAGUUCUUGUUAUUCAAAGUUCCAAUUGCCAAACGGAUUUCUUAAUCUCAUAAAGCAAUCUAAACAUCAUAAUUCACAACGUCUCAUGAAUAAUGCAUAAUCUUAUUAACACUGAAAACAAGAAGAAUACAAAACCAACUCAAACAAUCCAACAAUAUAAUAUCAAACCAACAUAGCAAAGAAAUCCCAAUGGAUUUAAUCAAUUUAGCUAAACAUGUUCAUGUUUAAAACAAUCUAGGAAAUCAAUUACAAUGAAAGAAUAAUGAAAAUAAAACAUGUAGACCCUUUUCUCUCGAAUUGGAUGAACAGCUCCAAAUCUAGAUCUACACUUUGAUUAAUCUCCCAAACUGCCUCUUGAAUUGCUCCACUACUGUUUUGCACUCGGAAUCUUACGAUUCCGGGAUUCUUACGAUUCCGGGAUUCUUACUCACUGCAACUCUCUCUCGCACUCAGUAUUGUGCAGAAACCGAACCAGCCACUAGGGCUCAAUGUCACUCUUUUUUUCCCUCUCCUUUUCUCUAAGAAAAAUGAAUUUCUCUUAUAUAUUUAACUCAGCACGGCCGUGGUCAAGGUCGUGCUGGUCAGCACGGCCGGAGUCCAUGCCGUGCUGAAACUGUGGAUCUCACCAAGUAGGGUUUCACCACGGCCGUGUUUCUCCCCGUGUUGGCUACCACGGGCCGUGUUGCUCCCCGUGUUAUCCACCACGGGCCGUGCUGAAGGCCGUGGUGGCUACGGAAACCGUGCCCAAACUAUUGUUUUGAAGACCAAGUUUGAUGGUUGGUCACGGCCAGAGUCUAGGCCGUGAUGGUCAGCACGGCCUUGACUCAGGCCGUGCUCAAUGUGUGCAACGCGGGCUCUUGUCCGAUCUUGAUGAAUUCUCGUCCGUUUCCGCACGUAUUGAUCUAUAAUUGCUUAAACACCGAUGAUGGUCCUAUAAAUGUUCCUGACAUGCAAAAGAACAUAAAACACGGGUGAUCUGGGAAUAAAAGCACAAUAAUUGCUAAGAACAUACGCAAUAAUAUGCAAGCAAAUAUGUGUAAAACUAUGCUCAUCAAAUUACCCCACACUUAAGCCAUUGCUUGUCCUCAAGCAAUUAACAACUCACCUCAUAAAACUACAGUUAGCAAUUCCUUUCAGUUUAUGCCCUUAGUCCACAACAGAGAGUAUUCAACACAUCUCAAGGAUACUCAAUCAUAAAUCAAAUUACAAAUCAUUACAAAGAUGGAAUAUAUAAUGCAUGAGUACUNNNNNNNNNNNNNNNNNNNNNNNNNNNNNNNNNNNNNNNNNNNNNNNNNNNNNNNNNNNNNNNNNNNNNNNNNNNNNNNNNNNNNNNNNNNNNNNNNNNNNNNNNNNNNNNNNNNNNNNNNNNNNNNNNNNNNNNNNNNNNNNNNNNNNNNNNNNNNNNNNNNNNNNNNNNNNNNNNNNNNNNNNNNNNNNNNNNNNNNNNNNNNNNNNNNNNNNNNNNNNNNNNNNNNNNNNNNNNNNNNNNNNNNNNNNNNNNNNNNNNNNNNNNNNNNNNNNNNNNNNNNNNNNNNNNNNNNNNNNNNNNNNNNNNNNNNNNNNNNNNNNNNNNNNNNNNNNNNNNNNNNNNNNNNNNNNNNNNNNNNNNNNNNNNNNNNNNNNNNNNNNNNNNNNNNNNNNNNNNNNAAUAAUAUUAAUGCAUGAGUAACUUAAAUGACAACUCAACACAAACAUCAUGAACCAAUGCCUCACAGGGAUCACUCAAGUCGCUCAAAGUGUAUAUUAGGUGAAUAACAAAUCCCUCAAAGCAAAUGCACAAGACCCGCUCACCAUAAGCUUGCUCAUAAAUCAUAUCUUCGCUACUGUGAAUAAGUAAAUACCAAAAUCAAAGGGUCUUUACCAAGGUUGAAAUGGGGCUAAGGUAAAGGUACGAAGAUUUGGAUAGAAGUGUGAAAGUGCUGGAAUUCGUGCGAUAAACAAUAGUAUAUGCUCAAAGGAUUAAAUGCCUAAGAUCACAAAAAGAAUCAUUCACUAAAAUCCCUACUUCAUAGAAUAACGCUCGCAAAUGCUCUAAAUCCAAUAAAAAGAUAAAUAAUUAAAGAGAUUUGUUUAUUAUAUAUUCUUUUUUUUUCUUCUUCUUCUUUUUUUCUCUUUUUUUUUUUUAUAAUAAUGAACUAGCAGCUUAUUAGCGACCGCUGAAUACAACUCGAAUAAACAUAAAGAAUAACAAAUACAAAUUGGAUUAAAGGGAGCAUUUAAAAUAUCAAAAAGAUUUAGUGAAUUUACCAACAUAGCAACUAGCAUUUUAAUCCCACAUAAAGUUGAAUAAAUCACAGAAAGAAAUUCCAGCAUAAGGGUAAAGGAAAGAUAAAUGUAAAGAAUGGUAUAAUUGAAGUGUAUAGGUGUAGAUUAUGAAGAAAAGGUUAAGGCUAAAAAACUGGCUAACUAAUGGAAACAUAAGGUGAUAGGCUUUUGGUCAAAUGUGGUGAAUCCUAAAUCGCCCAAAUCAUCUCAUGGUAUUUGCAAUAUUCAUGUAACUUCAACACGCAUUACAAAGCAAGUUCUAGAAGCAAAGUUAAGUACAAUGCACACUCAAACAAGAAAUAUAAAGAGCAUAAGUAUAAUGAAUGCUCAACUGGCUCAAAAUCUCACUUUCAGGUGUGGUAUUAGGUGCAGUUGGUUCGCAACAUCAUUAAUUGAAUCAUUACUUAAGAAACACAUGCAUAUGAUAUUAUCAACGUUCUAAGUUAAAAUUCGACAAUUCGAAAAAAUAAUUAAAUAACAUCGGUCUAACCCGGCAGGGUUGAUGUGUAAAACACCAUAAAUUAUUUUCCAAGGACAAUGAACAACAAAGAAAAGUAACUACAAUUCUAUAAAUCAAGUCAUCAAUCAGCUCAAAAAUAGCAUACUCAAGUGCAUAAACAACUGUCCUCAGUGUAAAUGUUAUGGAUACCCUGCAUGGAAUGCUCAACUAAGAGAACAAAAGCAAUACAAUCCAAGUGCAUGACAUGUAUGAAAAAUAAAGUAAAUAAAUGCAGAAAAAUAAAAAGAUCUAAGGGACUGCCCUGAUCAUCCAUCGAGGCUGAUGUUGUGGAAAUUCAGUGCCUCCUCGGUAGAAUCUGAAAAUAAUAAAAUAAAGAAAUAAAAUCAAAACUGAAAAUAUGAAAACUAAAACUAAUAAAAUGUUUCAAAACAAAAGGUAAAAAAAAUUAGAAAUUAAAGAUAAAAAUUGGGGUGCCUCCCAAAAGCGCUUCUUUUUGAUGUGAUGAGUCUUCUUAGUUGGACUCAUGGUGAAAGGCAAAUGGGCGUGAUCGACGACCAUCCAUCCUUCUUCCAAGCAAAUGGCUUCAAAUAUCUGCUUAGAGGGAUAAUCGUCAACUUCCUCUUCCUGACAAUCAAGCAAGCUGCCAGUAUGAUGGGCAAAACUCGCUCCUCGUAUAAUUGCACGUAGUCAUGAUGCUCUAGGGGCUCUUCCAAUUUGAAAGCUAGAGUUUCAACAAUUGGAAGGAUCGACGGUUGGGCAAUUUCUUCAGGAGUGUUGAUGGUUUUCUUCAGUCCCUGGCUUGGUUCUCUUGCUAAAAGAAACUCGAGCUCCUCUAAGACUUCUUUAGUGGAUAACUCAUGCUCAUCUUCCAUCAUCGAAGGGACUUGUGGAAAAUCUACCAACAAUUCCUCUAACUGCAACUCAGCAUCAUCAACUAUACAUUCCUGUUGAUAGUCUUUCAGAGGAAUUAUGUUCGCCUCUUCCUUUUCUGGUUCCAUCUCCAUGUUCAAGAGAUCGUCCUGCACAGAAGCAUCAUCAUCAAACAUAGUAGAUAAACCAGAAAAAUUCUCACCUGAACGCAAAGUGAUGGCGCUCAAAUGCUCCUUGGAUUCAGUAGCGUUUGAUGGAGUUUCCAAUUGCUCUGCCGCCAGUAACUGAAAGAUCAAGCCUACUUGAUGCUCUAUGUUCUUAAUCGAGGUUUGUUGAUCUUCAGUAUCCUCUCUGUUUGUUGGAAUCUGUCAUCAAGACUUGUAAUGAACCUCAUCAUCAGCUCCUCCGACACUAACUCUUCAUCUUGAGUUGAAGGUGCAACAUUAGGCUGCUGAUGUAGUUACUGAAUUCCUAGUGGUUCUUGGCCAUCUAAGCUCCAUCCAUAGGGUGAAUGAGUGCUCCACUCUUGAUUGUAGGUGCUUCCAUACGAGUCAUUUGGCCAACUUCCCGUAUAAUUCACCUGUUCACAGUUAUAAGAACAAUGAGCAACAUCACUAUACAAUGGACAAUCAUUACACAUAUGUAAACCACAACAAAAUUCACAAAAGACUUGAGAUGAAAGGAUAGGAGAAGAGAGUUGAUCGGUAGCCCUGCAAAAUGAUUCCACCCGAGCUUCUAAAGAUGCACGGGUAUCCCAAUUUUUAGCACUCUCUUGGUUCCUAUUCUCAUUUUCCAAUGCGUCAUACAAAGAGUAUGAAUUUAGCAUUGAACCUCCUUAUCAUUCACUAUCUGAAUCAUAAACUUAAGCUAAAUAAAUAUGUACAAAUAAAAUAAAAUAAAUAAACAAAUAAAAAUAAAAAUCAUAAAAUAAUAAGAAAGAAAAAAAAAUGGCUAAAUUAACAAAUAGCAAAUUUCACUCUAGUUUUCAUAUAAUUCCCCGGCAGCGACACCAAAAACUUGAUGGGUGCUACUCGUGUUAGCUACAAUCUAAGGCAGUGUACCAAUCGAUGCAGUCUGGCACUAAUGGCGAGUAUCAAGGUCGUAUUCCUUAGGAAAGCGAAAGCCCAGAGUUACUCCUUUGUUCUUUGUUAUAUUAACCUAAAAUGGAUGAUGAAUAAAUUCUAAACUAACUAUUAACUACAAGCUAAGUUCUAAGGGAGAUGCAGGAGUAAUUGAUAAGUGAAAUAAUCAAGACAAGAAGACAAACCCAAAGGAAAUCUAAACUAGUUGGCAAUCAAACAAAAGAUAAAGGAUCGGUGAGUCUAAUUAUGCUACCCGUGGAUGAAUUCUUAACCGAAUUCGGUUUCUCUCUCGAGAUAACCAAAUUCCUAAACCUAAUAACCUAAAGUUGGAAUCUCUUCCUAACGAUUGAUUCUUAAAUUAGCAUUAAGCUUUAAUCCGCCUCUAUUAAGCUUUGUUAAUUCUUAAUCCGGCUAGUUAAUUAUCCUUAUCUCUAAGCGAUUAUUAACCAGUUCUUGUUAUUCAAAGUUCCAAUUGCCAAACGGAUUUCUCAAUCUCAUAAAGCAAUCUAAACAUCAUAAUUCACAACGUCUCAUGAAUAAUGCAUAAUCUUAUUAACACUGAAAACAAGAAGAAUACAAAACCAACUCAAACAAUCCAACAAUAUAAUAUCAAACCAACAUAGCAAAGAAAUCCCAAUGGAUUUAAUCAAUUUAGCUAAACAUGUUCAUGUUUAAAACAAUCUAGGAAAUCAAUUACAAUGAAAGAAUAAUGAAAAUAAAACAUGUACACCCUUUUCUCUCGAAUUGGAUGAACAGCUCCAAAUCUAGAUCUACACUUUGAUUAAUCUCCCAAACUGCCUCUUGAAUUGCUCCACUACUGUUUUGCACUCGGAAUCUUACGAUUCCGGGAUUCUUACUCACUGCAACUCUCUCUCGCACUCAGUAUUAUGCAGAAACCGAACCAGCCACUAGGGCUCAAUGUCACUCUUUUUUUCCCUCUCCUUUUCUCUAAGAAAAAUGAAUUUUUCUUAUAUAUUUAACUCAGCACGGCCGUGGUCAAGGUCGUGCUGGUCAGCACGGCCGGAGUCCAUGCCGUGCUGAAACUGUGGAUCUUACCAAGUAGGGUUUCACCACGGCCGUGUUUCUCCCCGUGUUGGCUACCACGGGCCGUGUUGCUCCCCGUGUUAUCCACCACGGGCCGUGCUGAAGGCCGUGGUGGCUACGGAAACCGUGCCCAAACUAUUGUUUUGAAGACCAAGUUUUGAUGGUUGGUCACGGCCAGAGUCUAGGCCGUGAUGGUCAGCACGGCCUUGACUCAGGCCGUGCUCAAUGUGUGCAACGCGGGCUCUUGUCCGAUCUUGAUGAAUUCUCAUCCGUUUCCGCAUGUAUUGAUCUAUAAUUGCUUAAACACCGAUGAUGGUCCUAUAAAUGUUCCUGAAAUGUAAAAGAACAUAAAACACGGGUGAUCUGGGAAUAAAAGCACAAUAAUUGCUAAGAACAUACGCAAUAAUAUGCAAGCAAAUAUGUGUAAAACUAUGCUCAUCACGCCCUGAUAUCCCUGAUGAUGCACCUCUUUUCACUCCGGAGCCAUAGUCAGGGCAGUAUUAGUUUCUUUUUCCUUUCUUAUUUAUUAUAUUUUGUACUCUGAGGACAGUGUGUCCUUCAAGUGUGGGGUGGGUGAUAUUUAUCCCAUCUUAAUUAUUUGUUUAUUCUUUGUGCAAUUUUUUUGAAAAUUUUUGAAAAUUUUUCACUUUGUUUCGAUGCUUUUACUGUUGACUUGCUUUUGGAAAUCCUGUUUAUGUCCAUGUGAUCGAGUAAAACCAAUAGUGUUGAGUUUUGCGAAAGAAUGUAAGAUAAUUAGUUUGAGUUUUGUACUAAGUUGCUUUGGUUUAUCUAAUUCUGUUUUGAUGAUUUUUGUUUGGAACCUACUCAAAAGCACACUUGUGAGAAAUUGAGCCUAAAUUGUAAGCAUACACUUUAUAUACUUGUAUUUAUUUCUUGUUGAGAGUGCCAAUUACUGUCUUUACUUUUAGAACUUGCUCAGUAAUGCUUAUGAGGGCCACAAGGAGAGUUUAACACUUUGGUAUGAUACAGGCACUUAGGUUUUUCAUUCUAGCCAAAUAGCCUUUAUUCGUUUAUUGAUUCUGUAGAUAACCCCUUCUUUCACCAUUUUUUUAUCAUAUUCCAUUACCACUUAGUUUUAUUCUGCUUUGGGUUAUGAUUUUGCACAUGAGUUGUUUUUAUUGGGAAUUUUUAUCUUGGGAAUAGCUUUGGAAUCUUGUAGCAGCUUACUUCAAUCCAAAAAGAAAUUCACUCUAUUAUGUGAAUGUUCUUCCCUUAUGAAAAAAAGAAAAAAAAAGAAAAAAAAAGGAAAGAAGAAAAAUAUAUAAAAAGAAGAAUAAGAGGGAAAGGUGAUGAAAAGAAAGAAAGUAAGUGAGCUAAACAUUUUGACUUGAUUCCUAUGUCUCACCUUGGACUACUAUCCAUUGUUUACCCCUUGUGAUUAUUGUGACUUGUGUGCAUGUCAUGUAUUUCAUUACAGAACACCAUAGGUUCAACUCUUACCAAAUUUACCUACCCCUACCUAAUCCCCAUUACAACCUUUAUAAAGACCUCUUGACAUGGUUGUUGACUCUCCAUAAGUGGUAGGAGUAGGAUUUAAGAGCAAGCAUAUAGUAAGUAAGGCAGUAUUUGAUGCAUUGAGCGAUUAAACACUACCCUUUAAACACUUUGAGUGAUUUAGAGUGAAUCUGGUGAGGAGUUGGUUCUAAAUAAUUUUGUUGAGACAGUAUUUUAUGAAUUAUUGGCAUCUUGGUUGUGAUAUUUGAAUUGAUUGCUUCAUUUCUUUUUGUUUGACUUACGCUUGUUAAGGAUAUGUGCAGGAGCGCUCUAGCUUGUCUGUCAGCUUAAGUGUUGUUCCUUAGUGGUUUAUUUUUCUUAUUUUACUUUUAAUUGCUUGAGGACAAGCAAUGAGCUAAGUGUGGGGUUAUUUGAUGUGCGUAGAAUACACACAUCUAAAUAGGGAUUUUAAGGCAGAAUUUAUGUACAUUUGGAUGUGAAUUGGUCCCAACACUCACCCUAUGCAUUUGUUUGUGUGCUUUAGGUCCAAAAGAAGUCAAAGAGUGAUAAAGGGAAGAAUUUGACGUCAAAGUUGCCGAAACAAGUCGAGUUUGCGCAUCCCUAAUCUGAACAAGGCCGUGUUGGUUUCAACACUAGCUGUGUUCCCAACACGUGCACCAACACGGUCGUGUUGGUGCAUCAAACAUCAAAGAAACAGAAGUUUUAGGGAGCACGGCCAUAAAGAGUGACACGGGCAUCAACACCAGCCCAUGUUGGGAACACGGCCACCAACGCGGCCGUGUUCGCGGCGACAGGGGGGAAUUAGUUAAAAGAAAGAAGAGAGGAAAGAAAGAAAGAAGAGCGGCGGAGAAAGUCCCAAACCCUAACUUUUCUCUCCCUAAGGGUUUUCUGAGCUAGAACCAAGGGAAAAGGGGAUCAAGGUUUCAAUCGGUUUCCCUUUAAGGAUUGAAGAUUGGGCGAGGUUCGUUGAUUGGUUUUUAAAUCGAGCAAGAGGAACAAGAAUCGAUUCAAUUCAAGCAAGAGGAAUUGGGGCUGUUUACUCUCAUCCAAGGGUGUAAUCCGGUUUCUCUACCUUUACUCUUUGUUGUAAUUGUAUUCUUGUGUAUUUUGAUAAUGAACAUGAUUAGCUAGAUUGAUUAAAUCCAUUGGGAUUUCUUUACUAUGUUGGCUUAGUAUUAUAUUGCUGGAUUGCUUGGGUUAGUUUUGUAUUCUUCUUGCUUUUAGUAUUAAUAAGAUAAUGCAUCAUUCAUGAGACGUUGUGAAUUGUGUGUUUAGAUUGCUUUGUGUGAUUGAGAAGUCCAUUUGGAAAUUGGAAUUUUGAAUAGCAAGAACUGGUUAAUAAUCGCUUAGAGAUAAGGAUAAUUAACUAGCCGAAUUAGGAAUUAACAAAGCUUAAUAGAGGCGGAUUAAAGCUUAAUGCUAAUUUAAGAAUCAAUCGUUAGGAAGAGAUUCCAACUUUAGGUUAUUAGGUUUAGGAAUUCGGUUGUCUCGAGAGAGAAACCGAAUUCGGUUAACUCCACGAGUAGCAUAAUUAGACUCACCAAUCCUUUAUCUUUUGUUUGAUUGCCAACUAGUUUAGGUUCCCUUUGGGUUUGCUUUCUUGUCGUGGUUAUUUUAGUUAUCAAUUACUCCUGCAUCUCCCUUAGAACUUAGCUUGUAGCUAUUAGUUAGUUUAUAAAUUAUUCAUCACUAAUUUUAGGUUAAUAUAACAAAGAACAAAUGAGUAACUCUGGGCUUUUAUUUUCCCGAGGAAUACGACCUUGAUACUCGCCAUUAGUGCUAGACUGCAUCGAUAGGUACACUGCCUUAGAUUGUAGCUAACACAAGUAGCACACAUAACACAACAACACUUUGAAGAAAGAACAUACAAAGGUAUUAAACAAAAUUCACGUACAAAAAGACUCUAAAUAGGUAAGUAUAGCAUUUAUUUAUUGAUGUUUUAUGUUAAAACGACUUAAAACCCAAUUUCAGCCUGCGUACAGUCGAUUCAGACUGUGUAGAGCUAAAUUGACACUACGCGGAGCCGAUUGGCUAUGCGCACAGUCAAAUCGGUUCUAUCGGUUAGGGCACACGAUUUUCUUCAAUUUCUUCAUAGUUUUCAUGCAUUUUGAGUAAAUAACACGUUUAUCUAAUAUAUAUAUGACAGGAAACACAGUUUAAAGCUGAAAAAGUACCUCUCUAAUGGCUAAAAGUGAUCGGUGUGUGUUUAAUUUUUCCAAGAGAGGAAUUUUUUCUCCUUUUACAAGCCCUAAGUCAUUCUAGCGAGAAAUCGAUGGUUUGAACUCCUAAUUGGGCGCAAUUGGAGUACGCCUAGAGAAUCUAGAAGAUGAGGCCACCAUUUUAAGACUGGUUUCAUAAAAUAUGGCUAAGCGUUAGCUGAGAAAUCAAAAAAAAGGCGAAAGAAGGUUUGAGAGAAAACAAAAAAGGAAAUUGGAUAAGGUGAUGAAUGAAUAGGAAUGAGGGUAUAUAUAGGCCUUAAAAGGGGCAGAAGUGUCAUUUAGGCCCUUGGCCCUUUGAAAUUAUAUUUUAGUCCCUAAAUGGACUGAAAUCCAACACGAGUUCCCAAAAGGCACAUGGAGGGUUAGUGUGCAUCCCGAGGCAGAAAGUUUUGAAAAAUUACAAGUUUGGUCCCUGACCUAUCAAAAUUAUGUUUUAGCCCCUGAGCAAGCCAAGUACCAAUACAGCUUUUGAAGGACGUCAAUUAAGCCAGAUUGCACCCUAGGGCGGGAAUUUUUAACCAAAAGCACCCAAAAGUGGAAAUUUAUUGAAUUGACCUAUAAUGGUAAAUUAUAUCCUAAAAUUGAAAAAAACCAAAAAGUAGUCUCUGUAAAAGUAAAACGGUAUCGUACCCAUAUCGAAGGGCGUGGCUCCCAUAUCAAAGGGGCAUGGUACCCAUAUCAAAGAGCGUGGUUCGCAAGUCAGCAGGCAUGGCUCCCACAUCAAUGGCUGUGGUGCCCAAAUCAGCAAGCGUGGUCCCCAAAUCUAUGGGUGUGGUACCCAAACCAAUGGACAUAGUGCCCAAAUUGACGGGCAUAGUUCCCAAAUGCAAGCAGGCAAAGUCCUCAAAAGUUAAGCAGGCAUGGUCCCCAUAUUAACCCAAAUUCCUUUCUCGACCUUACAGAGUGUGACUUCUACAGCUCACCAAGAUAUCCUUUUUUAACUAUAUCCUUGAUAUUAUAAAUUUCGACAAACGAGGAGCAACUAUCAAUACCCAUUUCCGAGAUCUAGAUAUGGAAGGAAUUACGGAAAAUUCGAUGAUGAAAGUUACUGCCUUUCUCAAGUCUCAGAGAUUGAGAAGGCGUAUCUUAAAGAAGGCUGGGAACAAUUGGACUUAAAAUUACUUCUCUAAAAUUAAUUUGGACCCAAUUGAUUGGAAAAAUAAAAUUCGAGUGGUAAAACGGCAGUUUUCACAAGUUCAAGGACUAAAUUGUCAAAAUUUCUAGAACUUUUGCUUCUUACAGGAAAUUGGCUCCAUGCACAGUCCAAUCAGCUCGAGAGAGAGUCGGUUGGCUUAGCAUAUAGCCGAUUGGCUCUACACUAGGUGAUUAGCUAUUUUUCGAAUUUGACACUGUUUCAUGUGUAUUUUCGAUAUAAAACGCUAAAGACUAGUAAAAAUAAGUUUCUAGAAGGUAUUUAUGAUAAUUAUUGGAAUUUUUAUAAAUAUUUUUUUAUGAUAAUUGUUUGAAAUUAAAAGAAUAAAUCCCUUUUCAUUUGAUAUUCUCGCAAGGAAUCAACAAGCUUUUGACAUUUAAAGAGCAGCAACUUCCUGAUCAAGAAAGAGUUGAGAGUCGAAGUCCUCCUCGUCUUGAACCCAUAUAUGGACUCAUUCCCGAGCAGAGGUAGCCAUCCAGAUCAUUGCAACAUCGGAAAGGUCACCAGCCCAGGCAAAAGCAAACCCGGACCAACCAAUAAAGGGGAAGAAUAAUUGCAGCCUAUUAUUUUCAUUGAAUAAUUAUUAAUAUCUCCUAGGAUUUUCUAAGCCUACUCCUAUAAAUAGAAUAGUGUGGUCUAGAUCUAGAGUUAGCAUAUCCGAGCAUAAUAACUAGAGCAAAAAAAUUUCAUCAACACAUAUAAAGAAGAAACCCUUAGCAAGCCACUAGAAAAGAACUUCCAAAUUAGGAAACCCAUUAAAGAAUGACAGAGACUUUCCUCAGAUUCCAAAAGUAAAACUGGAUUCUCAUCCCCUUUUUGAUUCAACAUCUUCUUUAUCUCCCGAGACUCACAAAACGACAACUAAAAUUGACAACUUGUGGAUUCCCCUACACCAACAUCAUCAAUAUCUCUUCUCUUAUUGCUUAUGUAUAUCUUUUUAUUUAUGAGAAUAUAUUAGGAAUGUCUUUUAUGUGUAUUCUACAUAAUUCACAUUAUUAGAUUAGAAUUCUUUUAUAUUAGCAUGUUGAUUGUAUUGGGUUUUUAAAUAUGAUAAUAAGAACACCUAGUGUUUUGAAUCUCAUUUAAUUAGAGUUUUGAAUUUGAUUAGUUAAUAAUAGAUAUAAUUAGCUUAUAUUUCAUUUUUUUGUUAAUUAUAGAUUUUCUGACUAAAUUUGUUCCCUCUAUACAUGUAAAAAUCGUUUCUAGGUGGAAAAAUUGAGGAAAAACCGCAGAAAGCCUCUUGAGCCGAUCGGCUCAAUGUAGAGUCGAUUGACUCUUCACUUUGAGCCGAUCGACUGUCUAUAAUAUUAGGUUGAUUUUGAGAUUUUUGAUGUAUUUUUGCCAAUUUCAUGCAUUAUAACUUACUUUUAGGGUUUUCCUUUUUUUUUUAGUUGUAGGUGAAUUGUAAUAGCUAGAUUUAUUUCCUGCCCUUUGUUUUUUGCUUUUAUCUUUGAUGGAUGCCAAAUAUAUAUUGUAUGAUUGCGUAAUUAAAACUGGUCAAAUAGACUUGGGCUUUAAAAUUGGACUUGGCAUUAAAACUUUAGUCCAUUAGUUUAAUUAAGAUGGUAAUUAGGCUUUAACUUAAAAUUCAUAUAGACUUAACGGCUUUACCAUGCUUUAGUUAGCUUAAAUUGGACCAUAUUAGAUUUAGGAUCAUUGAAUUAAACCUUUUUAUAAGUAGUCAAUUAGGCUUAAAGGCUGAAAAUUAAAGCAUAAUCUGUAAGUGGGCUAGACUAGGUAGGGCCCUUGUAUAUAAUUAAUUAGUAAGUUAUGUUAAUAACUUUAAUGUAUGGGUUGGCUUUAAUAAAAAUGGGCUAGAUUUAGGUGGAUCUCACAUGUUGUGACACUUAAUGUGUAGAUAUAUUUAUGUUGCCUUUAUAAGGAAUAACUUGUUAGACAAUAAAAUUAAAGACAAAUAUACAAAAAUAAGGAAGUUGGCUUCCCGAUCCAUUUAUGGAUUUAUGACAUAAGCUUCCUUAUGGAAUCAAGAAAUGCCACUUAUUAGUAAAAGUGUCCCUUUUACCUGGGUGGCGACUUCCAUCUCCAUGCUAGUCUCUGUGACUAGUUAGCAUAUUCCCGAUUAGGUUGAAAAAGCCUUACAGUGCCGUAGUCACUAAAAGCACUUGGGUAUGCACCCGAAACAGCCACCCAUACUCACCCUUUUAGAGACGCAUGACAACAAUUUGUCUGUUAUGCGUACUUUUGUGUUUUAAAAGAAAACAUAAGACUUUUUAGAGUUUCCUUAAGUUAGAGAAGAUAGAAAAGAAAGGGGGCAACCAUCAACAAGAGAGAAAAGUCUGAAGACUCGACUUGGAGAUCAAUACUCAAGACUUCAUCUAGAGUAGAGAUUUCAAUAGAGAAACAUAUCAAAAACUUCUUUUUAGAUUUUUAUACUUUUUACUAUAACGAUUUUGUUGUUUCUCUAUUCUUUUGAUUUAAAUUUGAAUAAAGCCAUCAAUGGCUUAUUUCAUUAAGUUCUAGGGAAUGGGUGAACCACCCUGAACACAGUUAUGAUUGUCUUGCAAUAAACUAUUGAUGGAUGAGUAAAUAAAGUAUGAUUUAGCAAUUUGGUUUUCUAUUGUUCUUGUGAGUAUUGUGGGUAGAUAUUUACAUGUUUAAGAUAUUAGGUGAUGGAUUGAGAAUCAAAAUCUAGUAUUAUUUCAUGAAUUACUCGACUUACGAAAGUAAGAAUCAGAGAUGAUCUCAAUCCUAUAUGACUUUAUCAUUAACCAUAAGGCUUAAUGGGUUUUAAUUAUUUUCAUGAUCAUGAGAGUAUGUCUGGAAUUAACUUUAAUACUUCUAUAAUAUCUUGGGUGUAAACAUCAUAAUAUUGAGUCUAAAUAUCGAGAAAACUUUAAAAAGCCCGAUGAUAAAAAUCGCUAUUCCUCUCAGAUCUGAUAGAAGUGUGGAAGGUCGAACUCUCGGUUAGGGUUACAUCCGAUUGAGCCAAAAUGUUAUUUUUCAAAAUAAGAAUAAUCAAAAUUGGCCAAAAUUGACUGGAAGAGUCAAAAUUGAUUGAAUAGUCAAAAUUAGGGACUAAAUAGGAAAACUUUAAACUUCUGCUAGCCUCCAGAGUCAACAGCUCUGUACAGUACCGAUUGCCUACAAAAUUGGGUUUUUACGGUAAUUUGUGAUAAUUUUUAUAUUUUAAACAUCCGUAAUUAUCAAAAUUAAUUUUCUAAAGAGACUUUUAUAGAUAUUAUCUGAGUUUUUAAUCAUUUUCGAUAAUAAAAUGGAUUUUUAUUGAUAUUAUCUCAAGUUUUAAAGCUUUGUAUUUAUCGCUUGAAAGACGAUUUUGAUAAAACCAAUUAAUUAUCUUUAAUUAUUCCUAGAAUUUUUUAUAAUUAGUUGGGUUCAUAUCCUGGCUCCUAGGGUUUCCUCCCAUUUUGGUAAAUGCUAGGUAGAAAAUACCGAAACGUACUAAGAUUUCCAAAACCUAAACAUUAUAGAACCCUAUCUUUAAACCAUUUCCCCGUCCUAAAAUUCAAAAGACUGCACAAUACGGUAACAUCCUGAGGGUUUCUCCAUCCAUCAUCUGAUCAUGUUUACUUUCUUUAUUUUGAUUACUAUUUGCUUAUUAUUUAAAUGUGAUAUGAUAUUUUUUACAUGCUUGAUCUAGUUUUAACAUAUGCCUUCAUAUGUUUAGAUUCAUUGUUCACAUGAUCUAGAUUUGCUAGUUUUAUUCACCUGACUAGGUUUUUUCUUCUGAAACUUAAUAUGAUUAGGCUAGAUCUACUCGAUUUUUCCAUAAAUAUGAAUAUUUUAAUCUAAUAUAUGCAUGAUUAGGGUUUUCAAUCGGAUUUUCCAUGAUAAGGUGUAAUACCCGAGAUUUUCUUUUAGUAAUAAUAAUAUAAGUAAUAGUUGAUAAAUGAGUUUACUUUAUUUUUAUUUGAUUUAAUUGGAAUGAUUUAAAUAGAAUUUUAAUGCUAGACAACAUAAGGGAGUUAUUUUGUAUAUCUAAUCUGUUUCGUUUUUAAAUGAAUACAUAAAUUAAUUUCUAUAUUGAAAGUUAUGAAAGAAUUAGUAAAGUCAUAUGUCUGUUUAUAUGUGUCAUGCCAAGAUUUUAUGAAAUAGUUCUGAUUACAUGAUUUCAUAUUUUUAUUAUUUAUUUAUUUACUAUUUAUAUAUGUUUCAUUUUCUGCAUUAUGAUUUUAUUGAUUUCAUGUUGACUCGGGAUGGGACGGCUAUAGAGCAUGCCACCUGGUGGGUAGCAUCAGGACCGCGUGUGCACCGGUAGGAAUCUGAGACAGAUAAUAAAAAAAAGGGUAAAUUUAAAAAGGUAAAUUUAGGACUUGCCCUGGUAGAGCAUUGCUCUCUGGGCGUCAGCUUAUUUGGAAACCUAAGUGACCUCUGUUGAGGUACUCCGUCCUGUGGUAUGAAAUAAAAAAAUUAUUUUAUUUUAUUUUGCAGAAGCAUAGCAUGACAUGACAUGUAUUUUUAUUUUAAAUUAAGCAAAUAUUUUAUUGAAGUGUUUAUAUUUGUUUUUGGGAUAUAUGAUUUUAACUCACUCUCGAGACUGACAGUCUCAGUUUCACUAUUUUUCAGGUGAUUGUUAGUCUUCUCGCAGUUCUUAUCUAGCAACCCGACUCCUUCAUCAUCGAGUUGAUGUAAUUGGUUUUGGUAUGUUUGACUUGUAAGAUUUUAGAUUCUCCACAGUAGAAAUUUUUAGACUUAAAAGUUCGUAAUUUUAUAUAAAUUCAAGUCUCGCCUAAUUAUGAUGGCGGACCGAAUUUAAUUUAUAGUACCCGUUGAUUUAAGAUUAAUUGUGAAAAAAGUACUUUGGAUUGAGUUUCAGAUUUUAAUUUGAUUGAGUUUGUGAAUAGUUAGGAUUACUACAGGAUUUGGUGGCCUUAGGCCUACCCAUUCCUUAGUGCCGGUCACGGGCCCACAGAUCAGGUCGUGACAAAGUUGGUAUUAGAGCCUAGGUUUAGAUUUCCUUCAACCUAGGUUAAGAUUCUUGGUACUGCGGAGCUAGGAUCAAGUCUAUCUUGUUUGUUUCCAUUGACUCUAGUGUCUCAGGUUUCACUAUUAGAGAGUCUAUCAUUCUUUUCUUGUGAGCUUGUCUUUGAUGCUGUGUUGAGAAUGAGAGUUGUAGCGAUAGUAAAAUCAGAAGCGCGGUAGACUCGUGCCAUUUUUUCGAGUGAUUAGUGCAGACUGGCCUUGGAUGCUUCGAUUGUUGUUUCGGUGAUGGGCACCACAGUCAAAAUUAGUGCAGAGCGUAGUUGUAGUCGUGUCAUGAACUGCCUCGUCAUCGUAUCGGGUAUCACCUCAAUGAGUAGAAUCGAAGUUAGUACAUGGAAAGUCGAGUAGAGGUCAGAGCAUAUAUGGUUGAGUUUUGUGGUUAUAAGAAGCUCGAAAUCUGGAGAAGCUUAAGCAAACACUAUUUAUUUUUCUAAGUAGAACAAAGUGUUUUAAAAUUCAAUAUUGCGCCCAGUCCCGCAAGAAUUUAUUAUGGCAUUUCAUUGUUAGGCAUGCAUAAUUCCAUAACUCAUUUUUAGGGCAUGCAUCAUACAUCAUGCAUUGCAACCCUUGGUGAUAGGGGGCAUCAUCACCCUAGUGCGCGACGUUGUGGAAUUUUAUAUAAAGAAAAUGGCUAGAGAUUUUAUGAUUUUAUAGAAGUGUUUUUCAAGAUAAUAAUAAUUUAUAUCUGUGUUGAUUAUAAAGUAAGUAAAUAAGUAAAUCUUUCAAAGUAAAUUGUGUUAGCUUGGAAUUCUCUAGAUGACAAGUGUAGUUGUUGUGAGAAUGGAUCUCUGGCGUAGUCGGCUCCAUGUUGGACUGUAGAGGAAUAAAGAAGAUUUUCUAGAUUCCAUUCGAGGAGGAAUUUUAUGUCAAGAUGGCGUGAUUUCAAUAUCCAUUUGGUCUUGUAUCAGUUAUCGCAACCAGAUGGAUGAUGUGACGUGGAUGAUGUGGUAUGGAUGAUAUGAUGUGGAUGAUGUGUUGUGGAUGAUGUGAUGUGGAUGUUAAGGAUAUUCUGUACGUGCAAGGGACACGUCAUUAGGAAAGAAGUUGGCGAGUGGAUUUUGGCAAGAACAGAAUUAGUACAGAUCAUUUCAGAGAAGACUCUUUUUCUCGCGAGCAGCUAAAGACAGCUUUCAGAAGGCAUAGGAGUUAUGCAGGCCCGAAGUAAGAGUGCGUGGAGAUUUGUAUUAGAAAAGUAUGUAUUCUUAAGGUCUCUCUUAUGCAAGAAGUAAUGCGGUGUGGUAAGGAAGGCAAGUUAGCUCUUAUUGUGUGGAACCCUUAGAAUUAUCGGCAGGAUUGGUAAGGUGGCAUGCAAGUUAGACUUGCCGCCAAAUGUAUUUUCUAGCAGGUCAAUCCAGUAUUUUGUAGAUCUGUGUUGAGGAAGUGUAUUUAAGAUCUUUCACUUGUGUUGCAGUUAGUUGGUGAUCGCAGAUUCUCAGGUUCGCUAGUUUUGAUCAAGGGUUUUAUCGAUGGGUCUUGUGGUUGAAUAUUUCUGUCAAGGAUAGUACCCGUGAAGCUGAGCUGGAGAUGAGAGGUUCUUACUCUCAUUAGUUUCAGUUUUAGUGUGAACCCCUUUUUUUCUGUUAAAAAAUUCGAGGACGAAUUUUCUUAAGGGGGAGAGAGUGUAAUACUCGAGAUUUUCUUUUAGUAAUAAUAAUAUUAGUAAUAGUUAAUAAAUGAGUUUUUAUUUAAAUUUAUUUUACUUUAUUUUUAUUUGAUUUAAUUGGAAUGAUUUAAAUAGAAUUUUAAUGCUAGACAACAUAAGGCAGUUAUUUUGUAUAUCUAAUUUGUUUGAUUUUUAAGAAAUUAAUUAAGUAAAUUCUUUAGAAAAUGGAUUGUAUUUUCGGUCAUUCAAUUUCUUUUCCCCAAUAUGAAUAUAUAAAUUAAUUUCUAUAUUGAAAGUUAUGAAAGAAUUAGUAAAGAAUAUUUUAUAAAAGAAUUAUUGAAAAAUUACAUUUUAAUUAGCUAAUGGUGUUAAUUUUAAUUAAAAAAUAUUUAGCAAAUUGAUUAAUUACUUAAAUGUGUGUUAGGAUUAAAUUGAAAAUUUAUUUUGGAAUAAGGAUUAAAAAUAUAAUUUUAUUAUAUGGGAUUUUAAUGAAAAUUUGUAUGUUGGGUAUUUUUAUAAUUAAAUAUGUCGGCAAGGGCAUUUUGAUAAUUUUACAUUUAAAAGCAAAGAUAAAUAAGUAAUUCUAUAUUUUCAAUAAUUCUAUUUUUGGCCUAAAUUAAAUAGUUAGGGGCUUAAUUGAAAAGCUAAACAAAAGUUUAAGGGUUAAUCAGAAAUUUUACAGGACGAAAUUGUUGUAAUUAAAAAAGUUGAAUGACUAAAUGGUAAAGAAGGAAAGUUCAAGGACUAAAAGUCGAUAUAGAGAAGAAAGAAAAGAAAAGGAGAAGAAGGAGAUUAGGGAGGAAGAAGAAAGGAGAGAGAGGCGCUGCGUCGACGGCGGAAGAGCGAGGGAGGUUCGGCUGAGCAUGGUGGCGACGACCGAAGGUGUAGCGAAGGCCGGUGAGUGCACCGGCAGCGGCGGCAGAGGCUCCAGCAGGCGGCGAUAACGGGAGAACACGAGGAAGCGGCAACAGCUUUCUUGCCGCCGUUUCGAGCGUCUCCGGCAUCCAAUGGUGGCCAGAGGAAGGAGUUCCGGCGAGGCGAUGGCAACCGAGUCUUCUAACUUUUUUGACAAGUUCCGGCGAGUUUUGGCUGAUCUGAGGAUAUAUCCGGACUCCCCCCAGCUCAAGCUUUCUAAUGGCACCGGUUUCGCGGCGAUCGGGCUCCGUUUGAAAAUUGAGAUCGUCUGUAAAUCUUUCUAGAUGAUCGGGGGUCAGAUUGGAAGAUCGGAAGCUGGGAUCGUCAUCAACGAGUCGUCUCAAGUCUGUAGGCGCGCUCGAAUCAUUGAUCGGACUCUGGCAGCUAGAGGUGAAUCGACCAAGUGAUCAAGUAUCCCGAUAAUCCGUCAGUUCGACUCGCUCCACCCGAGGCAUCGGAACAGAGCUAGGAGGUUGUUAGAACUGUGAGUUAAAGUCAUAUGUCUAUUUAUAUGUAUCAUGCCAAGAUGUUAUCAAAUAGUUUUGAUUACAUAUUUAAUAUUUUAAUUAUUUAUUUAUUUACUAUUUAUAUAUGUUUCAUUUUUUGCAUUAUGAUUUUAUUGAUUUCAUGUUGACUCGGGAUGGGACGACUGUAGAGCAUGCCACCUCAUAGGUUGCAUCAGGACCGUGUACGCACCGGUAAGAAUAUAAGACAAAUAGUAAAAAAAAAAGGUAAAUUUAAAAUGGUAGAUUUAGGACUUGCCCUGGUCAAGCAUUGCUCUCUUGGCUGAGUAGAAUGAGUUUGCCGGAGUAAAGGUCCCUGGUCGAGCAUUGCUCUCUGGGCGCCGGCUUAUUUGGAAACCUAAGUGACCAGACUGGACUUAAGGACCCUAGUCGAGCUUCGUCUUAUUAGAGUAAGAGAGCCGAAAGGCUAAGACUUAUGGUGAUAAUUAAGUGACCGGACUGGAAUUAAGGACCCCGGUCGAGCUUUGCUCUUUGGGCGCCAGUUCUGUUAGAAUGAGAGAGUCGAGAUGUUAGUGUUGGGAUUAGCGUUUUGCUGAGGUACUCUGUCCCAUGGUAUGAAAUAAAAAUUUAUUUUAUUUUAUUUUGCAGAAGCAUAGCAUGACAUGUAUUUUUAUUUUAAAUUAAGCAAAUAUUUUAUUGAAGUGUUUAUAUUCAUUUUUGGGAUAUAUGAUUUUAACUCACUCUUGAGACUAACAGUCUCAAUUUCACUAUUUUUCAGGUGAUUGCUAGUCUUUCUGCAGUUCUUAUCUAGCAACCUUACUCCUUCAUCAUCGAGUUGAUUUAAUUGAUUUUGGUAUGUUUGACUUGUAAAAUUUUAGAUUCUCUACAGUGGAUAUUUUUAGACUUAUCAGUUCGUAAUUUUAUAUAAAUUCAAGUCUCGCCUAAUUAUGCUGGCAGACUGAUUUAAUUUAUAGUACCCGUUGAUUUAAGAUUAAUUGUGAAAAAAGUGCUUUGGAUUGAAUUCAGAUUUUAAUUUGAUUGAGUUUGUGAAUAGUCAGGCUUACUACGGGAUUUGGUGACCUUAAGCCUACCCAUUCCCUACCGCCGGUCACAGGCCCACAAAUCGGGUCGUGACAUAAGGUUUGUUGAUAUUUUAAUUAUCUAUCCAAUGAAACUUUUAUUAUGUUAAAUUUUUUUAGAAAGUUUCCUUAUUUGCAUUUGCCAUAUGAUGGAUUUGCCUACUUUUGUUAAUUUGUUCACUUGAGAUUGCCAAUAUGUUUAGGAUCUAUUAUUUCCUUUAUUUCUUUUUUAUUUUCAUGAUUAAUGAUUAAUUUGGUAUGAUGAUUGAUUAAAUCUCACAUAUAUUCUUAUUUUGCAAAAAUCACAAUAAGUUUAUUUUGAAAUGUCUUUUUCUACAUGUUUGGACCUAACCUUCCUGUUCUAUUAUUUCUUGCCUUAUCUGCUCUAAUUUUAAUUGUUGCUAAACUUGGAUUGGGUAUUAAUUUUUUCCUCUUUUUACUAAACUACUUUAAAAGGCCUACCUAUACAUUGGGAAUUCAGCUUGCUUAAUUGAAUCCAUUGAACAAAUCACACUCUUCUUGUUUGAUUGUGUUCUUUAAGUAACUUAUAAAGGCUCAAAAAGAACAAUUGAAAGGUAAAAGACAAGAGUGGUGAGAUUAGCAUCGAGAAAAGCCAAAAAAUAGAGCGAAAGACGAGUGUAAGUGAUUUCAAUUAUAGAGUGAAACACGUGAGGGAGUGGUGAGGAUUUUCUAAUCUUUUCCUUCUUUAAAAGUUCACUUGACUUUGUGAUCAUGUCUAAAACUACAAUCGAAGAAGCUAGCAUAUUUGGAGGGGGAAAUGAUGCAAAGCAAGAAGCUUUCAAUAUGGAAGGACUUAGAGGAACAUUUGCAGCCCUAGAAAGAAGAUUUAGUGAAGUGGCUAGUAGAAUGGAGAGGUAUGAGAAACAGAACCAUGAUAGAGCGCAACCAUAACAAAGGAAAGCGCUUAAAGCUCCUAGAGGAAUGAACGCAUUACUUGAAUUUGAGGAUGAUCAUUGGACGAAGAUGACGAAAAUGAAACUGUCCUUAACUUAAGAAGGCAGAAUAAUAGGAGAUAUAAUAGAAAUGACAUGGGGGACUACAACAUUGGAACCAUUAAGAUGAAAAUCCCACUGUUCAAAGGAAAGAAUGAUUCUAAUGCUUAUUUGGAGUGGGAUAGAAAGAUGGAAAUGUUCUUCGAGUGUCACAACUACUCAAAAGAAAAAAAGAUAAAACUAGCUGCUGUUGAAUUUACUGACUAUGCUAUUAUGUGGUGGGAUCAUCUAGUGAAAGAAAGGUACAAAAAUAGUGAUAAACUAGUGGAGACAUGCAUAGAAAUGAAAAGAAUCAUGAAUCAAAAUUUUGUUCCUAAUUAUUACUACCGGGAACUUCACAAUCGCUUAUAAAGAUUGACCCAAGGAAGCAUGUUAGUUAAAGAAUAUCAUAAGGAAAUAGAGAUGGCCAUGAUCCAUGCAAAUGUGGAGGAGGAUUUUGAGGCAACCAUGGCAAGAUUCCUUAGUGGUUUGGACAAGAAUAUAGCUGACCAAGUGGAGUUAUAACACUUUGUUGAUGUAGAAGACAUGUUGAGUGUAGCCAUGAAGAUUGAGAAACAACUUAAAAGAAAGGGUUUGUCUAGGUAUGAUUCAAAACCUUACUUAGGAGGGGCUAAUUCAACAUGGAAAUCUAAUUGGAAUAAAAAGGAUGAUAAAACUACACCUAAAGUCAAAGAUGAAUCUUCUAAGUUUAAUAAUGAUAAAAGUAAAGGUAAAGAACUAGCGGCACUUAGUAGGGAAAUCAGAUGCUUCAAAUGCUUAGAAAGUGGAUACAUAGCAUCUCAAUGCCCCAACAAACGGGUAAUGGUCAUGGUGGAUAAGGAUAUAAAGUCUUUUAGUGAAGGAUGAAAUAGUAAUAGUGAUGAGAAUAAUGAUGUGGAUUUUGCAAAAGGGGAGGCACUUAUUUUGCAGCAUACAUUAAACGUUCACGUGAAGCAUGAUGAUUAUGAUGAUACUAAGUAAUAUGAGAAUUUAUUUCACACACGUUGCCUGAUUUCUAAUAAACUCGCAAUUUAAUUGUUGACAACAGUAGUUGUAUAAAUGUUGCUAGUACACUUCUUGUGGAAAAACUGAAGCUACCGACACAAAAGCAUCCUAGGCCAUACAAACUACAAUGGCUCAAUGAUACUAGAGUUUAAAAGAUAACCAAACCAGCUAUGAUCUCAUUCUCAAUGGGGAAAAAUAAGGAUGAGGUUCUUUGUGAUGUGGUACCCAUGUUUGCUAGUCAUUUGCUUAUAAGAAGACCAUGGCAGUAUGAUAGAGGAGUGUUGCAUAAUGGAUACAAGAAUAGAUAUUCCUUAGUGAUAAAUGGAUGCAAGUUCACCUUAGGACCAUUAUCACCUAAGGCUGUCUUUGAAGAUCAAAUGUCCAUUUGACAACAAUAUGAGGAGCUUUCUGGAAAAGAAAAAGGCAAUUGGGGAUUGUAAGUGAGCAUGAGAAAAAAGAAAAGGGGGAGAUGAGAGAUUUCAGUAAAAAUGGAAAACACAAGGAGGAAACACGUAAAGAGAGCAAGAGUGACAAACACUUGAGCUUUUAUUAAGUGGAAGUGAGGUUAAAAAGAGCUUUAGCUUGUAGGCAGUCGCUACUUGUACUUGUGUACAAGAAAUCAUUGCUUAAUACUAAUGACUUAACAGCUUCUGUUCCAAGUGUUGUUUCAAAACUUUUAUAGGAAUAUGAAGACUUGUUUCCUGAGGAGAUUCCAAAAGGCUUACCACCAAUUCAUGGGAUAGACAUCAAAUUGACUUUGUUCCUGAAGUGAGCAUUCCUAAUAGGCCAACCUAUAGGUGCAAUCCGGAGGGAAUAAAAGAAAUUUAAAAACAAGUGCAAGAGUUGAUGGAAAAAUUUUAUGUGAGAGAAAGCAUGAGUCCAUGUAUUGUACCUAUACUUCUAGUACCUAAAAAGGAUGGGACAUGGAGGAUGUAUAUUGACUAUUGUGCAAUUAACAAGAUUAUAGUAAAGUAUUGGCACCCUAUUCCUAGACUAGAUGACAUAUAGAUAAGUUACAUGGAUCGUGUGUAUUUUCUAGAAUAGAUCUUAAUUCUGGGUAUCAUCAAAUAAGAAUGAGAGAAGGAGAUGAAUGGAAAACGGCCUUUAAAAAUAGUCUUUAUGAAUGGUUAGUGAUGCCUUUUGGCUUUACUAAUACACCAAGUGCUUUCAUGCGAUUAAUGAACCAUGUUUUACGUGCUUUCAUUGGUAAAUUCAUGGUAGUUUGUUUUGAUGAUAUUCUUGUGUAUAGUAAAUCUAUAGAUGAGCAUGUUAAACAGUUAAGGAUUGUUUCUACUGCACUUAGGACUGAAAGUUUAUAUUCUAAUCUUUAGAAAUGCGCAUUUUGCACUAAUGAAAUAAUCUUCCUUAGUUAUAUUGUUAAUGAACAUGGAAUUACUGUGGACCAAGAAAAGAUUAAAGUAAUUAAGGAGUGACCUACACCUACAACUGUUCAUGAAUGUGUAGUUUAAUGGUUUGGCUAGUUUUUAAGGAGGUUCAUUAAAGAUUUUUCCACUAUAGCCACACCAUUAACUGAAUGCAUAAUGAAGAAUGUAGGUUUUCGGUGGGAUAAAGAACAAGAUGAAGCCUUCAAACUGCUAAAGAACAAAUUAGUUCUGCACCUUUACUUGCAUUACCUGAUUCUAAUAAAACUUUUAAGAUUGUAUAUGAUGCAAGUGGUAUAGGUAUAUGAGUUGUCUUAAUGUAGGAGAGAAGACCAAUUGUGUUCUUUAAAGUUAAGUGGAACUAGCCUAAAAUAUCCAAUUUAUGAUAAAGAGUUUUAUGCCUUGGUGAGGGUACUUGAAACUUGGCAACAUUACUUAUGGUGUAAGGAGUUUGUCAUCCAUACAAAUCAUGAGUCCUUGAAAUACCUCAAAAGAUAAGGAAAGUUGAGCAGAAGACAUGCCAAGUGGGUAGAGUUCAUAGAAUCUUUUCCUUAUGUGAUCAAGUACAAGCAAGGUAAGGAAAAUGUGGUAGAUGAUGCUUUAUCGCGCAGGUAUACUAUAAUAUCACAACUUGAUAAAAAAGUGUUAGGGUUCAAACUUAUUAAAGAUGUUUAUGCUUAUGAGCUUGAUUUUGCCACUAUAUAUGCUGCAUGUGAGAAAGGGGGAGCAUAUAGGUUUUAUAGGUAUGAUGGAUUUCUAUUUAAAGAAAAUAAACUUUGUGUGCCUCAAUGUUCUUUGAGGGAGUUGUUAGUGAAUGAGGCACAUAGUGGAGGACUAAUGGGGCAUUUUGGUGUGAAAAAGAUUUUAGACAUACGAGAUGAGCAUUUCUUUUGGCCUCACAUGAGAAGGGUUGUAGAGAAAUUGUGUGAGCAAUGCUUAACAUGUAGACAAGCCAAGUCUAAGGUAAUGGCUCAUUGAACGGGUUGUCGAAGCCCUUCAAAAUAAAUUACUAAUUUUCCUAAACUAACUUGUAGAAAUAGUGAAACCAAGUCGAAUCCCAAGGGAACCAAUGUGGAUAGCUUCUCAAAGUAAAAUAAAAAGGGGGGAUUUUGAAUGUUUGAAUCAAAAUUAUAAAUAAGUAGAAAAUAAUGAAGGCUGAAUAUUAAAGUAAAUAAAAAUCAAUCUAAACAAAUUUCCAAUUCAAGAGUGCUACUUCCAUCCAAUUGUAAUCAUGAUCAUAGGCUAAAAUAUCAAUUCUUCUAUUUAAGUACUUAGUCUACUUAUUCAAAAAAGCCACAACAAGUGUAAUUCUCCUAAUAUAAUUGACUCAAACCUAACAUCCAAAUAAAAACUUACCAUUAGUUAACUGGGCACGAUAGCGUUCCAUAUUAACUUAAUGAUAGCAUUAAGAAUAAUGAGAAUGACUAAACCAACAUUAAUUAAUUGAGAUAACUGCAAUUGAAUUAACCUUGUUCCUUUAUUUCCCUAGAGCCUAUCAUGCAAGCUAUGUAAUUCGAAUAAGCCGCAAUCACACACAUAUGAGCCAGCUCCUUGCUACUUGUGUCAAUCGUUCAUGACAAUUAUGGAUCACAAACUCAAAAUUUAGCAAUAAAAAAAUCAAUAUCAAAGUUGAGUCGUCAGUUCAAUCAAUAUCAAUAAUUUAUAAAUAAUAAGGACAAGAAAUAAAGAAUACUUGAAUUAAAGAAGAAUUCUGUUAACUACAAAGCCUCACAAAAUCACAAUUGGAAUUUAUUCACUCUUAAAUUAUAAACUAAAAACUUAGCCACUCAUGGUGGAGUAAGAAUUCACAAGAAUUGUAGAGAAUAGAAGAAAAAUAAGAACAUGAAUAUCAAGUAUCCAGCCCCCUUUACUUGGUACAACUAGCCUUUUCAUAUAGAAAGUUAAACCUAAACCCUAAUAAGAGAAUCCUUAUUAAAAAGAAAUAAACUUCUUAUAUGAUCUUAUCCAUAUAAGGAAGGAUAAGAUAAAGAGUAAUCUAAACAAAUUAAAAUCCUAAAUACAUGGGAGAAAGUUCUCUUUAUCCAACACUUCCAAAAAUAAAGGAAAUUAAUUAAAGAUGGGUCCACCACAAAUUUAUCUUUGAAAAAUUUGAAGCUCUCUUUUGCAACUUUCAGUAGCUCAUGGGUUGCAAGGCGUGGUCACGCCUUAUUGAAAAUGAUCUUCUGCCCAAACUUUUGCUCUUCCUUCAAAAAACUUGGUUUUUGACAAGUGAUGCUUUAAAAAAUAUCUUUUGGCUGAAUUUCACUCAAUCAUUGAUAUUUCAUCAUCUAGAUCAGAAUAAACACAGUUUCUACAACUAAGCACAUUAUCCAAUCAAAAUGUAAGAGAAUUAAACACAAUAAGUAUAACUAUUUAUGACCUAUCACUCAUGGGUUGUAUACACCACUUCCUAUUCUUAUUGAACCAUAGGUGGAUAUAUAAAUGGACUUUGUUUUGGGUUUACCUAGGUCUAAAAGUGGCAAAGAUUCUAUGCUUGUUAUUCUUGACAGGGUUAGCAAAACGACACAUUUUAUACAUUGUCAGAAAACCAAUGAUGCAAUAUAUAUAACUGAUUUGAUUUUCAAGGAGAUAGUAAGGUUGCAUGGCAUUCCAAGGACUAUUGUUAAUGAUAGGGAUGCCAAAUUCUUGAGUUACUUUUGGAAGACUUUUUAGGGGAAGUUAGGAACAAAGCUCUUAUUUUCAACCACUUGUCAUCCACAAGCUAACGGACAAACUGAAGUGGUGAAUAGGACCUUAUCUACACUUUUAAAAGUAAUCAUUCAGAAAAACUUAAAGAAUUGGGAGGAUGUUUACCUCAUGCGGAGUUUGCUUACAAUAGGACAAUGCAUACUACAACUGAACAUUCGCCUUUUGAAGUGUUAUAUGGCUUUAAUCUACUCACACCAUUAGAUUUGUUGCCUUUACCAUUGGAAAUAAAAAGGCUGAAGCUGUUAAAGCUUACAUGAGAAGGUGAAAUUGCAAAUUGAAAAGAAAACACAACAGUAUGCUACUGCACACAACAAGGAGCAAAAGAAGGUGUUAUUUGAACCAGGUGAUUGGGUUUGGUUGCACCUUAGAAAAGAAAGAUCUCCUAAUCAACAGAAGUCUAAACUCAUGCCUCGUGGAGAUGGACCGUUCCAAGUGCUUGAACGGAUAAAUGACAAUGCCUACAAACUUGAUUUGCCAAGUUAGUAUGGCAAUGUAUCUGUUACUAUUAAUGUGUCUGAUUUAUUUCUUGUUGAUACAGGAGAUGAUUUAAGCAUGAAUCCAUUUGAAGAAAGGGGGAAUGGUGAACAAUAGGAUGGUCCAACUAGCCAAAUGGGUCCAUUAACAAAUUUUGGAGGACCUUUAAAUUGAGAUAAGGCUAAAAGUGUUAAAGUUUGUCAAGCUUCAUCCAAAAUAUUAGCUCAAAGCUAGCUCAUGGAAAAGAACUAGAAGCUCAUGAUAGUCCAAGCUUGGUUAACUUAGUUCAAGCCAUCACAAGUCAAGAGAGAAACUGAUAUGGAACCUCCACGAAUAAGCUUGAGAACACCUUUUGAUUUGCGGACCCCCAACACAUUAACAUGAAAACCCCAAGAACCAAUUCGGUUCAACCCCCAAGAAAGAUUAGAAGACAGAUUUCUUAGAAAGAUGAUCAAGAAUUAGAAUCUAAGAAAAACUAAGUCCUCAAACCCCAAUCCUAAGUGCGCCACAAGGAUAGAUUAACUCCUUGAUAAGUUUUGUAUUCAAACAAGAAUACAAGAUACAAGCAAUUUUGGCUUCAAAGGAAGUAAAAACUUUAAUUAAUCAUAAUCUGCCAAAGGCAUACGGAUUUGACAUGUUUUAAGGACAUAUCCAAAGUCUUAGUAAGAAUAGAACUCUUACUUAACUAAUAAAGAUUUACAUCUAAUCUAGGAUAAAGAUAACCUUCCUAACUAAAAGAGAUAACUUAAACAAAAUCCUAAUUAAGUUAAAAUACAUGUGUGGCCACGCAAAAUAAGCCAUAAAACCUAAUUUACAUAAGUCAUAUAGAUGGGCCUCGUAACAUAAGCCAAGUUAGGCCCAAAGUCUUGAUAUGCUCCAAUUCAGCUUCUUUGAUCUUUUUAAGCCGAAUUAAAUUCAUUCAAGCCCAAUAACUGAAUUAGAUUAAUGAGCCUUGAACUUAGAUCCAAUUCUUUAAGUCUUGAUGUGUCCUUAGCCCAAAUGUCUUGGAUAAGCUCAUUGACUUGCAAUUUCAAUCGAACUAUGACUCCCAGUUGAAUUAGGAUUCCUUUUGUUGCUUGAACUCCUAAUAUUAUCAGGAUUUCUUGCAGGAUUAGGAUUUCCAGUUGAGUCACGACUCCUUAUUGGAUUAGAAUUCCUUGAGCUAGUAGGAUUUGCAUCAUCAAGACUCCUUGUUGGAGUAGGAUUUGUUGUGCUAGUUUGGUUCGUAUCAGGAACUUGGUUUAAGAGGAGUAUUCAGCCAUUUUAUCCAACACAUUUAGAUUUAAUUUUAUUAUAACUUUAUUUAUAUCUUUAGUUUUUUUUCUUGAUUUUAGGCCUUAUAUUAUGUGUUAGAUUUUCUUAAUUUGUUUAGUUUAUUGGGCUUAAGUUAAAAUUAUAAUAACUAGUUCAUCAGUAUCAUAAAGUUGGGUUUGUAGUAAGAUCUAAUUAAGUAUAGUUAAUGGGCUAAAAGUUAAAGUAUUUAAUUAAGUAUUAAUUACUUUUAUUAUUUGUGUUGUUUUUAGGUUUAAAUUGAAGAAUAUAAAAGGAUAAAAGGAGCAUGAUUUUAUUCAUCCUUUUGAAGGCUUAUGAUGAAGAAGAAUAUUAUAUUCAUUAUAUAUGGAAGGUUACAUACACGAUAAUAUUGCAUUCAAUCAAGAAGGUGUUAUGCCUUUCCAAACCAUUAAAAUGAGAGGUUAUGCUUAUGAAAAUGACAUUAAACAUUAGUGGUUACAAUUAUAGGAGUUAUUUUUUAUUUAUGCAAUUUACUUUUUAUUUUAUUUUUACUAAUUCUCCAUUAGCCUCUUCCUAUAAAUAGGUAAGGUAUUUGCAUUUGUAAAGACAUCAUUGAGUUGAAUAUAAAAGUCUUCUUUUCUCUUAAGUGAGAAUUUUUAUUUAGAGUUUUUAUUUGAUAUUUAGAAACUUAUUAAACUUUUAGUUUGUGGCGUUCAAAAUCCAAACACCUUAUACUAUAGCUCUCUAGCUUCUAUAGCUAAAAGGGUUGUAGUUCAUAUACUUAAAGUCUUUAGCUCUCCUAUAGCUAAAAGAUUUUAUGUCUUUAUUUUCUUUAAAAUUCAGAAUCCUGAUUGAUAUAUCCUGCAAUUCAAAGAAUUGCCAUUGGGGUUUUUGGAUUAUUCAUCUUCAUUGCUUUUGGUUGAAUAUAAUCAUUGGGUUUGUAGUGGCAUAUUCAAAGGUUUCAAUCCAAUUCAUACCACAAACUAUUCAUAAUAAUAGUAAGAGUGUACCUAUAUCAGAAGUAAAAACAAAACAAAUAAAAAUCUGUAAACUUAUUUUAAGCAUCUUGAAAUAAGACAAGCAUAAAAAAUUAGAAAAACCGAUCAAAAUUUAGAAAUGAAAUAUUUGUACCAUAUCAAGACACAUUAGUUCAAGCAUCAUAAUAUAUUAAUAAUAGUUAUUUAAUAAGAAAAGGCUACUACUUGGCCAUGCACUGCCUGGAGCAACCUCAUAACAAAAGCCAUUUUCUGUAUAGUCUCGUGAGCAAUUUCAUCACCAUAAAUUGUAGCCUCAAAUUUGUCAAUUAGCUACUAAAAUAGAUUUCACCAUCACCAUAUUUAUGUCACGACAAAACUACCAACAAGACUCCAUUGCUCAUCAAUAAAUCAUUUCCAACUUUCAAACUUACUAAGGGGCAUUCACGUAUCCAAUAUACAUAUUCUUAUACCAAGACCAUUCAGAAAUCUGUUGAAAAUCAUUUGACUAGAUAAGUACCUGUUAUCUUAUUACAUGUUCUUGACAAAAUUAACAAGCACAUGUUCAUGGAUGAGACUAAUACAAGCAAAAGAAGAAGUACCAGAACCUCUUCCAGUAGAGAUGGGAUUUAUGAGUCUCCUCAUACUCUUUGGAACUUCUAGAAGCAGGUUCAAGGCCUUUCACAGAAUUUAAUUCUUCCUGCUCACAAUGAAACUUAUAUUAGUACAUUAUCUACUUAUUCUAUUAAGACAUUGAUCCAGCAAUCAAAGGAAUGUUUCAAAGUACCAAAUUUCAAAAAAGUGACUAAUACAAGCUUUCUGAAUUCAAUAAGAACCAAUGUAGGAAAGAAUUUUAAAGAAACUUACAUAUGUAGCCCACUUCAAUGUAGGAAAUUGAACCAAUGUAGCUAGAACUUCUAUUGUAUUAUAUCAUAAUAAAAUGGUGUCUAACACACAACUGGCUCUAAGGAGUUUUAGAUGAAUACGUAUAAUGUAAAACAAAAGAUAGCAGCAAUUAUAAUAUAGCAAAACUUGAAAACAUAUACAGUAUCAAUAAAGUUCUAUCAUUAUCUUGAGCAUUCCUACAACUCAGUUGAUAAACACAAGUAGCCAAGUUUUGUUGCAAGAAUUAACACCUUAAUCAAGACAAUAUCCAUAUAUAUAUAUAUAUAUAUAUAUAUAUAUAUAUAUAUAUAUAUAUAUAUAUAUAUAUAUAUAAACUAUGUAUCUGAAAAUAUCACUAUGUACCACAGAGUCAAGUGGUAAUCCAGUAUCAAAGAAAUGACAACAAGAAGAAGCUAAGAAAUAUAGUCAUAUAACUCAAGUAAUAGUAGAAUAAGAUUGAAAUAAAAAGACGACAAAGAAAUAUUAUAUGAAGUAUUCUAACACCUGAUUAAGAUAGCUAACAAAUUCUAAAUGGUAGAAUAAUUUUUAUAGUGCCCUAUACACAACCGAUUACACAUAAGCCAUUUAACAACUAAUGUACCUCAAAAUUAUUAUGACUAAUCUAACAUGUCAAUUCCACAAUGAACAAUGUGUGUAUGAUAAGCAAACUAACACAAUGCAAAAUCGAAUAACAACAAUAAAAGUAAUUAAAUCACCUUUGCAUAAAACAAUACAUCAGCAAGAAAGGCUUCCUAAGUUUCUUCUUUUACCAAUUGUCAAUAUAUCAAGGUGAAUAAAACCUUACAAUUAGCAAAUGAAGUUACAAUAGUCUAAUUUUCAUUUUUUGAUUUGACAGAAAAUGCAAAAGUAAUAACAUCAUAAGUAAAGUAACAAACACAACAAAUACAAUCGAUCAUAAAAACAUGCACAGAGCUAUAAAAGAAUAAAAAGCCAUGAAUUAAAUAAUUUCUUUUAGACUUUAGCAUAUUAACAACAAUCAAAUACAACAAAAUAAUAUGUCACUUUAAGAUAUAAAAAAAUUAAAAUAUGAAGCAACCAAAAACCAAAACCUAAAUAAAACCAAAAAUCGAAAGAAAACCAAAAACUAAAUAAAAACAAAUAGAGUAUUAUGAAUAAAAAGCAAAAAAAUGAAUGUUGUCUAAUUGAGUAGAAGGAAAAAUUGGAGAAAAUGAAAUUAGAAAAAUAAAAGAAACCAUUACUAAUAAAUCAUAACGAAUAACCAUGAAAGAGUUACCAUCUUCAUAAGUUUUCAAGUAUCAAAAUUGGGUGAUUGAUUGAUAGAGUUACCAGUUGCACAGAUAGGGACAGAGUUAGCCAAGCUUAGGUAAGAGAAAGGAAGAAAAAAGAAGAGAAAGGAAACAUAGUUAGCAUUAGGAAAAGAAUAGGAGUUAAGGUUUCAAAAUUGAAGAAAAAUGGAGGAGAAGUUGAAAAGAGAAAGGAAGAAGUUAGGGCUCAAGCACUCACUUAUAUCAAACUUCAUUUAGGAAAAAAUGAGUUUUUUUUUAUUUCAUUAUAAAUUUUUAUAUAUAUUUCAGUGGAAAAGUUAUAUUUUGGCAGUAAAAGUUUAGGCCGAAUUCUUUUUACCCAAUAAUGAGGGGCAUAUAUACUAAUUACUACCAAAUUAACUCCAUCCUUAAUAACCAUGUUUUUAGUGAUAAAAAUUUUAAAGCCCUCAUUAUAUGUAUUCAAACUGUAAUUUUAAUAAUAGAUUUUUUGUACUCUCGUUAAAAAUUUGUCAUUAUAGAUUGAUUUUCUUGUAGUAUAAAGCUGAGUUGAGAGAUUUGUGUAACUCCUAUGUAAAGCAAUACAAUUAUAAUACACAUCUCAAAAUUUCCAUAAAAGAUCUAGAGUCCACUAAGCAAAAACCUAAUGAGUUGCUCCCUGUAUCACAUGCAACUGUAUCAGAAGAGGGUGGCCAGAGCAUUUAACAAAAGAGUAAGGCCAUGAAAGAUCAGAGUUGGUGAUAAGGCCCACAACAUCUGAUCCUAGAGGUAAAUUCAGGCCAAAUUAGGAAUGCUCAUUUCUCCUGUAGAAAAUUUUAUCCAAGGAUGCUGCUAAGAUUUCAUAUCUUGGAAGAAAUGAAUUCUCCGAGCCCAUUAACCUAGAUCAUCUCAAGAAAUACUAUAUUUAAAAAAAGAAAAUAAAAAAAGAGAGAAGAAAAAAAAAAGAAACCUGCUGAUCGAGAACUUGUAAAGGCUGGUCAGGUAAAGAUAAUAGUAAUAAAAAGAGAAAAUAUUCAGCUUGAAAAUCUGAAAAGACUGGCUAAUAAUAAGAGUUAUGUCAUUAGAAAUAAAAAAAAUGUACCCAUUUAAGCCUUUAUUGAAUGAAUAAAAUUUUCUAGAAUUUUUAUCGAAUUUGCAUAUUAAUGCUUAUUGUUUCAUGCAAUACUAAAAGGAAAAACAAAGCUAAAUCGAUGAGAUCUAAAAUAGAGGUAUUUUUUAUUCUCUUCUUUUUGCCCUAAUUUUCUUGGACUCAGCAAACACCUUUUGGGUCCUCUUAUUCCUUGUAGGAUCAAGUGCAAUAGUAGUUUGUAGUAAAACCCAAGCUUUGUAACUAUCAUUAGUGGUCAAGUCACCUUCAGAAUUGAUGUUGUGCUCUACAGUAUGGUAGAGCCAUAGUCUCUCAAUCUUGUCCAAGAAGUCCUAUAUCUAUGUAAAGCCUUUGAAGUCGGGAGGAUAUUCUAAAAUCAUAUGCUUCUCCCAUAUUAAUAGCAGAGUUUGAAUAGGGUAUAGAAAGUGGAUUCUCGAAGUCCGAGUAAGAGAACACAUGCUCCAUAUAUCAAAAGGGUGAUAUGCUAAAUUUUCCACCAUGGGCAGGUCUAACAAAUAAGGGCAAAUGAGAAAAGGGAGAGAAUCAACUCACCGGUCGAGGUAUGAAUAACUAAGGGUGGUGUCCAUCCACCUCUCGAGCAAAGUAAAGACGAAGGUGUGGUCUGUCCUCCUAGUAACUGAUGGAAGCGUGGCAUUGAAGCGACGAAAGCCAAUAUCGCCAAUCCUAGCCUGAAUCGGGCUUAGGAGUUCAUUGAACCACUUACAAGCAUCCUAGAAGUUUUUGGCGAACCAGAUUGACACAAUAUCACUCAGAAAAGCACAAGCACAAGUAUGUAAACACAAUGCAAACCACGUAAAGGCCUCAAACAAAUAAGUAUUACAUCAAUUUAUUGUUAUUUUAUGCUAAAACCCCCUAAGAAUUGCUAUUCCGCCCGUGCACAAUCAAUUCAGAUUGUGCAGAGCUCAUCGGCAUUGCAUAGAGCCGAUCGGUUGUGCGCAUAACUGAAUUGGCUCUAUGGCUUAGGGCAUAGCUUUUUUGCAAAGCUUUUCGCGAAAUUACACUUAUUUUGAACAAAUAAUGUGUGUAUAGUAUAUAAAUGACAAGAUACAAAGUUUAAAGUCGAAAAAAUACCUCUUCGAUGGUUGAAAAUGCCUAAUAAGUGUUCAAUUUCGCCAAAAGGGCGAUCUUCUCUCCUUUCACAAGUCCUAAGUCAUUUUGGCGAGAAAUUGGUGGUAAAAACUCCCAAUUCGGCACGAAUAAAGAUAGAGUCCCAUUCUACAUUUCAAUAUCGACAAUAAGGAAAUUUAUAGUAAGAGUAAAAUCCAUCGACUUUAGAAAUUGUGUGGGUUCAAGUCCCUCUAUCCCCAAAACAGGCCUGCUCGACUCCCUAAUUGUUUUUAUCCUAUUCUCUCUUUUCGUUAAUGGUUCAAAUUUCAUUAUCCUUCUCAUUCAUUCAAUUCUUUCACAAACAUAUCUGGGAUGGAUUUCUUUUUACACGUCUUAGGAUAGAUAUGAUAUAUAUAAAAAUGAAUAUCUUUGAGCAAAACAAGAAACCCCCAUUCUAGUGGAAAAUGGAAUGAUUAACAAUCCAAAUAUUAUUCGAGCUAAAAUUUACUUUACAAAGUCAUCUUUUUAUUAAUUUUUAUUUAUUUAAGUGAUGGUUUUCUUUAAAUUUAUUGUAAUACAAAUGUUUUGUUUGAUUGAAAAAAAAAUGUUAUAAAUUAUAAAAUAAAAGAAUAUUUUUCAUUUUUUAGGAGGGGUUUCUAACUCAGUGGUAGAGUACUCAAUUUUUUUAAGUGUGGGUCAUAUCUUUUACACAUUUGUAUGAAGGAAAGGAUUUGUCCAUACCAAGAUAUAGUUUGAAAGAUCACGACUGGUCCUAAAAGGAAUGAAUGGAAAAAAUAGCAUAUGUCGUAUCAAUGGAGAAUUAUGAGAAUACUUCAUUUUUGUUGGAUCGGGCUAAACCUUAUUUGAAUUCUUGGAGUGGAACAUAAUAAAUGAAUUUAAGGAUGGGUCGAGUGAAUAAAUGGAUAGAGGCGUCCUAAGAAUCUCGAUGAUGAGGCCACCAUUUCAAGACUGAUUUCGCAAGAUUUGGUUAAGAAAUGAAUGAGAAAUCGAACAAAAAGUGAGGAAAUUUGAGAGAAAAUAAAAGAUAAAUGUGGAUAUAGUCGAUUAUAAAUGGAUGUGAAGGCUUAUAUAGGUCCCAAAGGGAGGGCAAAAGUGCCAUUUAGGCCCUUGACUUAUCAAAAUUACAUUUUAGUCCUUGAAUGGACUAAGUACUGAUACAAGUCCUCAAAAAAACAGAUAAAAGGCCAUAUUGCAUCCCAAGGUGGAAAUUCCCAAAAAAUUACAAGAAAUUAUUCAUAAAAAAUUAUAUUGGUUAUUUAUUGGAGAAAAAUAAUUUAAGGUAUAUGUGCAAGUAUCUUUCAGCAAAAAUCGAGCAAUAUGAUAAUUUUAUAUAAGACCUUCUAUUUAGUUGCGUUAGAACUAUUAAUAAUAUGAAGCUAAAUAAUUAGAAUAAAUAAGAUAGUAGACCUUAAAUCGAUAGCUAUAAAUUUUAGUAAUUUAAUUAGAUAUUUGCAAUUAAGAUUUUGACUAAGUGAUUAGCCUAUAAUUAAGAUUGAUUUUGUUAUUAAUGAAUAUUAUAAGUAUUUUUGACAGGUCAUGGACCCGUUAUACGGUGGAUAAACGUCCGUAUUUUAGGGGAGGUUCAGCCAAAUUUUCGGUAUAAUUUUCGAGUCAAAAUUAUUAGACAGUCAAUUGUAGGAUCUAGACCUAGGGUUAUUUAUUAAGUGUUUUAUUUUUAUUAAUUGAAUUGUUCUGGUGAAUAGAUAAUCCAUCGUUUCACCCCGCUCCACCCGAGGCUUAGGAGCAGAGCAAGGGAGUCAUCACAACUGUGAGUUAAAGUCAUACAUCUCCUAUACAUGUGUCAUAUGCCAAAUUUUUAUAUAGCAAUUUUGAUUUUACAUAUAUUAUUAUCAUCGUAUAUUGGUUAUGGUAGAUUUUGCUGGAAAUUUUUAUUAAUUUUUAUUCUAAAUUUUUAUUAAUUUUUAUUAAUUUAUAGAUUUAAAUUAUUUAUUUAUUUAUUAUUCAUCUAAAUAACCAUUUUAUGGAAUUAAUUGUCUAUUUACUAUUUAUAUAUUAUUUUCCACAUCAUCGAUAUUAUGAUUGCAUAUUGACUCGGGAUGAGACGGUAGUAGAACAUGCCACCUGAUGGGUUGCAUCAGAACCGCGUGCAUAUCGGUACAAAUCUGAGACAAGUAGUAAAAGAAUAUUUUAAGACUUGCCCUGGUCGAGUUCAACUCUUUGACAUGUGAAGAUUUGAUUGCCGGAUUAAAGGUCCUUAGUCGAGCGUUGCUCUUUAGGCGCCGGCUUUAUUGGGAAUCAAGUGACUGAACGGGUUGUCGAAGCCCUUCAAAAUAAAUUACUGAUUUUUCUAAAAUAACUUGUAAAAAUAGUGAAACCAAGUCGAAUCCGAAAAGACCAAUGUGAAUAGCUUCUCAAAGUUAAAUAAUAAAAAUGAGGGGAUCUUGAACGUUUGAACCAAUAUUAUAAAUAAACAGAAAAUAAUAAAGGCUGAAUAUUAAAGUAAAUAAAAAUCAAUCUUACCAAACUUCCAAUUCAAAAGUGCAAAUUCUAUCCAAUUUUAAUUUUGAUCAUAGGCUUAAAUAUCAAUUUUUCUAUUCAAGUACUUAGUCUACUUAUUCGGAAAAGCCGCAACAAGUGUAAAUUCUCCUAAUUUAAUUGACUCAAACCAGCAUCCAAAUCAAGACUUACCAUUAGUCAACUGGGCACGAUAGCAUUCCAUAUCAACUCAAUGAAAGCAAUAAGAAUAAUGAGAAUGACUAAACCAAUAUUAAUUAAUCGAGAUAGCUGCAAUUGAAUUAAUCUUAUUUCUUUGUAAGCUGUGCGGUAAGCCCAAAGACCGAAGGCUCCAAUCCUUUCUUCCUGGAUUCACCGUUUUCUCCAAGAUGGAUUUAACUUCUCUAUUGGAAACUUCAGCUUCUCCAUUGCUUUGAGGAUGAUAUGCGGUGGCUACUCUGUGAUUCACUCCAUACUUCUUCACCAUAGCUGCAACCGAUCUAUUGAAAAAAUGAGUUCCUUGAUCACUGACAAUUGCUCUUGGAAUCCCAAACCUAUUAAAGAUGUUAGCCUUAAUAAAACCUACAGCAGCUUGAGAGUCAUCAGUUUUAGUGGCUUUAGCUUCCACCCAUUUUGAUACAUAAUCCAUAGCCAAAAGUAUAUAUGAAAAACCAUAAGAAUAGGGUAAAGGACCCAUAAAAUCGAUGCCCCAUAUACAUCAAAUAUUUCACAAAUAAGAAUUGGAACUUGAGGCAUUUCAUUCUUGCAAGUUGGUGCUCCUACUCUUUGACAUCUCUCAUAACUCUUGCAAAAUUGAUAUGCAUCUUUAAAUAAAGUUUCCCAAUAUAAACCACUAUCUAAGAUUUUCCUAGCGGUCUGUCUAGGUCCAAAGUGUCUUGCACAUGCAUAAUCAUGGCAAAAGGCUAAAAUAGAUUGGAAUUCAUUCUCAGGCACACAUCUCUUAAUCACUUGAUCGGAAUAAAAUUUCCAUAAGAAUGGCUCAUCCCAAACAUGAUACUUAGACUCACUUUUUUUAUCUUUGCUUUCCUAGACUUAUUGAGACAAGGAGGUAGAUUUCUUGUGACUAAAUAAUUGACCAUGUCUGCAUACCAAGGAAUCAUACCUUUGAGUUGGAACAAAUGCUCAUCCGGAAAGUUGUCAUUGAAAGGUAGAUCAUCUUCUUCCCUUAUCAACCUACUUAAGUGGUCUGCAACAUAAUUCUCCACUCCUUUUCUGUCUCUGAUUUCCAAGUUAAACUCUUAAAGAAGCAAAAUCCAUCGAAUUAGCCUUGGUUUUGAUUCUUUCUUUGCCAAAAGAUACUUCAAAGCUGCAUGAUCAGAAUACACAAUAACUUUAGAACUAAGCACAUAAGAUCAAAAUUUAUCCAAAGCAAAUACAAUUGACAAAAGCUCAUUUUCUGUAGUGGAAUAAUUGCAUUGGGCGGAGUUUAGGGUCCUGGAAGCAUAAUAAACGACAUGACUUUUCUUCUCAAUCCGUUGCCCUAGAACUGCUCCCACUACAUAAUUGCUUGCAUCGCACAUGAUUUCAAAAGUUAAAUCGCAUUGAGGUGGUUGAAUAAUAGGUGCACUUGUCAACAAAUCUUUGAGCUUAUCAAACACCUCUCUGCAUUCUUCCCCAAACUCGAAUUGAACUUCCUUUUGCAGUAAAUUUGUCAAUGGCAAAGUAAUAUUGAAGAAAUCCUUGAUAAACCUGCGAUAAAACCCUUCAUAUCCAAUAAAAGAAACCACUUCCCUAACAUUGGUAGGGUAUGGUAAGUUUGCAAUUAUGUCCACUUUUGCCUUAUCAACCUCUAUACCCUUGGAAGAGACCACAUGCCCUAAUAUAAUGCCUUAGGUAGCCAUAAAAUGACACUUUUCAUAAUUUAAAACCAAGUUAGUGUCUAUGCAUCUUUUCAAAACUUUGGUUAAAUUAUCUAAGCAUUCAUCAAAUAAAUCCCCAUACACAAUAAAAUCAUCCAUAAAUACUUCAAUGUAUUUCUCAAGAUAUUCAAAAAAAAUACUCAUCAUGCAUCUUUGAAAUGUAUCUGGGGCAUUAUAGAGGCCAAAAGGCAUUCGCCUAUAAGCAUAGGUUCUGAAAGGACAAGUAAAUAUUGUCUUUUCCUAAUCUUCUUGUGCAAUAGGAACUUGAUAAAAUCCUAAAAAGCCAUCAAGAAAGCAAAAGAAGGAUUUGCCAGCCAAUUGUUCUAACAUUUGGUCAAUGAAAGGUAAGGAAAAAUGAUCUUUUCUAGUCACUUGAUUAAGCUUCCUAAGAUCUAUACACAUUCUCCAAUCAUUUUGCACAGGCAUUGGUAUUGGUACAAGUUCAUUGUUCCAAUUCCUUACCACAGUCAUUCCAGUUUUCUUUGGGACAACAUGAAUCGAACUUACCCAUUCACCAACUGAGAUUGGGUACAUUAUACUUGCAUCCAAUAACUUGAGUAUCUCUUUCAUGACAACUUCUUUCAUAGCUGGAUUCAACCUCCUUUGUGGUUCCCUUCAUGGUUUAGCAUCAUCCUCUAGCAAAAUCCUGUGCAUGCAAAUUGAAGGACUAAUGCCUUUUAUGUCAGCCAAAGUCCAACCAAUUGCAACUUUGUAUUCCCUCAAGGCUUUAACCAACCUUCCUUCCUGUUUCAUUGUUAGUCUUUUUGAGAUGAUGACAGGCAGUGUUUUACCAUCACCCAAAUACACGUAUUUUAGGUGAUCCGGUAAAGCUUUUAACUCCAAUUUUGGUCCCUAGAUAAUUGAAGGUAAUAUCUUAUUAUUAGUAUUAAAAAUUUUAAUAUUGGAAUUUAGUGAUUCAAAUAAUGUUGCUGAAAAUAAUUCUUCUACAUCAAUCUCAUAAUCAAUUCCUUCUAAAUUAGAUAGUGCAUCUAAUUCUUGCUCAUCACCGACACUUUCUUUUGUAAAUACAUCAUGUACAAUUGAAUCAAUCACAUCAAUAUGACAAAGAGAAUGUACUUCAUUAGGAUAUUUCAUUGCACCAAAAUAUUAAAUUUAACAAUCUCUCCAUCAAACUCUACGGAUAGAGUACCCUCAUCUACAUUAAUCUUUGUCUUAGCUGUUUUCAUGAAUGGUCAUCUUAACAAAAUCAAAGCUGAUUUUUGUGAGGAAUUACCAUCCAUUUCCAAAAUGUAAAAGUCGACAGGAAAUAUGAGCUCAUUAACUUGCACCAAAACAGCUUCAACAACUCCAAGGGGUGAAUAAAAGAACGAUAAGCUAAUUGAAUCAUUACACUGGUCUUUUGCAAGUCAUUUAGUUUCAACUCUUGAUAAACAGAAAAUGGCAUGACGUUAAUGGAAGCUCCUAAAUCUAAUAUGGCAAGCUCAAUUUUCGUAUUACCAAGAAUACAAGGUAAUGUAAACAUAUUUGGAUCUUUGCAUUUUUCUGGCAUAUUUUUUUGCAAGAUAGCCGACACAUUUUUACUUACCACCACUUUCUCCUUUUCCUUCAUCUUUCUUUUGUUUGUGCACAAUUCCUUCAAAAACUUUGCAUAUUUUGGAAUUUGCUUGAUAGCAUCCAAUAAUAGGAUAUUUAUGUCCACCUUCCUAAAUGUAUCCAAGAUCUCCUUUUCUUACUCAUCUUCUUUUGGCUUAGCUAAUCUGCUAGGAAAAGGAGGUAAUGAAGUGUGAGAUGAAAGAGAUAGAGGAGGAUCAAAUUUUACCCCAUGUGAUGCUUUAAAGGAAGCUUCUUCUUCCUUUCCCUUGCUCGAUUCACUUUCCUUAAGUGGAAUCGACCCUGAAGGAAUCUCCUUUCCACUUCUUAGAGAAAUUACACUAACAUUCUCCUUUGAAUUUAUCUAUAUUUGUGAAGGUAGUUUUCUAGAAUUUUGAGCCUCUAAUUUACUAACCGACGUAGCCAAUUGAGUAAUUUGAUUGCCUAAAUUCUGAAUGUUUGACCUUGUGUACUGUUGAAAUUGAAGGGCACUAUUAGCAAGAUUUUUAACAAUAUCUUCCAAAGACAUACCUAAAUUUAAAGCUUGAGGUUUUUGGAGAACUUGAGGUGGUCUAAUGAAAUUCUAGGAAGGAUACUUUUGUUGUCCUCCUUGGUUACCAUAGCUCAAAUUCGGGUGAUCUCUCCAUCUAGGAUUAUAUUGAUUGGAAAAGGUAUCAUACUUCGUUUGAGGUUAACUAGUAAACUCGCCUACAACAUUAGCCUCUUGCAUCAAGUCUUGUUGCAAUGGUGGGCACAUAUUAGUGGGAUGUCCUUGAACUGAGCAUAUUCUAAAAAAUUUUGCCACUUGCAAUUGCUCUACAGCCAUUUGAUGAACCAAAGCAGUUAAAUCAGAAAUUUUAUUUUUAAGAUUUUUAAUGCUUACCUCAUUAAAUCGCCUAGUAGCUCCAUCAGCUCUUGUACCAAAUUGUUGAGAAUUUUCAGCCAUGUUUGAAAUCAAUUGCUUGGCUUCUUCUGAUGUCUUGUCUACCAAGGCUCCACCACUUGCUGCAUCAAUCAUACUCCUAUCGUUUGGCAAUAAUCCUUCAUAGAAGUAUUGGAUUAAGAGUUGCUCAGAAAUUUGGUGAUGGGGGCAACUAGCACACAGUUGCUUGAACCUCUCCCAAUAAUCAUACAAUGUUUCUCCAGUGAACUGUGUUAUGCCACAAAUUUCAUUUCUGAUGUUGGCAGCUCUUGUUGCAGGGAAAAACUUAUUUAAGAAUAAUCUUUUCAUCUCAUUCCAUGUUGUUAUUGAACCGGAGGAUAGAUAAUAGAGCCAAUCUUUUGCUUUAUCCUUCAAAGCAAAGGAAAAAUCUCUAACAUUUAUUUGCUCUUCGGUCACACAAUGUGGCUCCAUUCUGGAGCUUAAAAUAUGGAAUUCUUUUAAGUGUUUAUGAGGAUCUUCACCUGCACAUCCACGUAAAGAAGGGAGUAAGUGAAUUAAGCCAGAUUUUAAUUCAAAAUCAACCAUAAUAUUAGGAAAUGUAAUGCAUAAAGGUUGUUGAUUCAAAUCCAGUGCGGCUAGCUCUUUGAGAGUUCUGUUUGCCAUAUUUUCUACAACUUCUUGAAAAAUAGAUGUGUCACCAAUAGCCAAAUAUGUCUCCAAUUCCUCUAUGAGAUGACUUUUUCUUUGCCUAGUCUCCUUUCUUAAUCGACGCGAUGUCUUCUCAAUUUCAGGAUUAUACUACAAAUCAAUAGCCUGAGAAGAACAAGUCAUAAACAAAUAAAUUAAGCAAUGAGAAACUAAAAUAGGCUCUCCAGCAACGGUGCCAAAUUUUUAACGAGUUGUCGAAGCACUUCAAAAUAAAUUACUGAUUUUUCUAAACUAACUUGUAGAAAUAGUGAAACUAGGUCGAAUCCCAAGGGAACCAAUGUGAAUAGCUUCUCAAAGUUAAAUAAUAAAAAUGGGGGUUUUGAUUAUUUGAACCAAUAUUAUAAAUAAACAUAAAAUAAUAAAGGAUGAAUAUUAAAGUAAAUAAGAAUCAAUCUUACCAAACUUCCAAUUCAAGAGUGCAAAUUCUAUCCAAUUGUAAUUCUGAUCAUAGGCUUAAAUAUCAAUUUUUCUAUUCAAGUACUUAGUCUACUUAUUCAGAAAGCCGCAAUAAAUGUAAAUUCUUCUAAUUUAAUUGACUCAUACCCAGCAUCCAAAUCAAAACUUACCAUUAGUCAACUGGGCACGAUAGCUUCCAUAUCAACUCAAUGAUAGCAUUAAGAAUAAUGAGAAUGACUAAACCAACAUUAAUUAAUCGAUAUAGUUGCAAUUGAAUUAAUCUUGUUCUUUUAUUUCCCUAGAGCCUAUCAUGCAAGCUAUGUAAUUCGAAAAUGCCGUAAUCACACACACAUAAGCCAGCUCCUUACUACUUGUGUCAAUCGUUCAUGACAAUUACGGAUCACAAACUCAAGGUUAGCAAUAGAAAAAUCAAUAUCAAAUUGAGUCGUCAGUUCAAUCAAUAUGAAAAAUUUGUAAAUAAUAAAAAUAAGAAAUAAAGAAUACUUGAAUUAAAGAAGAAUUCUGUUAAGCAUAAAGCCUCACAAAAUCACAAUUGGAAUUUAUUCACUCUUAAGUUAGAAACUAAAAGCUUAGGCACACAUGGUGGAGUAAAAAUUCAUAAAAGUUGUAGGGAAUAGAAGAAGAAAAAUAAUAAAAAUAUCAAAGCACUCCACCGUCUCUUUAUAGAACUAGCCUCCUUAUAUAGGAAGUCAACCUAAACCCUAAUAAGAUAAUCCUUAUCCAAAAAGAAACAAACUUCCUAUAUAAUCUUAAUCUUAAAAGGAAGGAUAAGAUAAAGGGUAAUCUAAACAAAUAAGAUCCUAAAUAAUAUAGUAGUUAGUUUUCUUUAUCCAACACUUCCAAAGUAAAGGAAAUAACAUAAAAGUGCCACCACGAAUUUAACUAAAAAUUUGAAAUUCCCUUCAAUAGAUUCCAGCAGCUCACAGAUUGUAGGGCAUGGUCACGCCCUAUUGAAAAUGACCUUCUGCAUAAAUUCUUACUCUUCCUCUAAAAGACUUGAUUUUUGAUAAGUGAUGCUUUAAAACAUGUCUUUAGGUUGAAUUCCACUCAAUCCUUGAUAUUUCACCACCUAGAUCAGAACAAACAUAAUUUCCAUAAUUAAGCACAAUAUCCAAUCAAAAUAUANNNAUAUUCACACUAGAUCAGACAACAUAUUUCCAUAAUAAGCACAAUAUCCAAUCAAAAUAUAAGGAAAUUAAAUACAAUAAGUAUAACUAUUUAUGACCUAUCAGUGAACAGACUAGAUUUAAGGAUCAUGGUCGAGCUCUGCUCUAGGCACCAGUCCUAUUGGAGUGAGAGAGCCAAAAGGCUAUUAGUUUGGGGUUAGGGUUCUGAUGAGGUACUCGUCCCAUAACGUUUAAAUUAUAUUUUACUGAAUCAUGGCAUGCCACAUGUUUUAAUAUAAUAUAAUAAUUUAUUCUGAUUAAAUAAAUAUUUAUUGAGAUGGUUGUAUGUAUUUUUGGAUUAUAUAAUUUUAACUCACUCUCGAGGCUGACAGUCUCAAUUUUAAUUUUUCAAGUGACAGUUAGGUUCCCCGUCGUCCUGCUUUUGACAACCCGACUUUCUUAUUCAUCGGGCCUAUUGUAAAUAAUUUAUACUUUUAUAUUUUUAACUUUUAAUUAUUUAAAAUUAUAGACUCUCCCGAGUAGUAUAACUGAUAUGUUAUGUUUGAUCUGGUCUGUAACAAAUUAUGGAGUGUCGUUAAUGUCCAAUUAGAGACUUGUGAAUGGCAUGUUGGACUAGUUUAAUGUUAUGCUUUUAUAUGCAUAUCUGAAAUGGUGAAUAGUAAGGCUUACUAUUGGUCUUGGUGGUCUUAAGCCUACCCAUUUUCUAGUGCCGGUCACGAGCCUACAGAUCGGGUCGUGACAGCUAAUUCCUAAAAAUAAUAAAAGACUGCUUCAAAGUCGACCGAUUCGAAGUAGCAAUCGAGCUUCUAUACUUGUCGAUGUUGACUACUCUCUACAUUAGCCAAACGAGGAUCAAAGACAUCAAGCUAUUGGUUAAGGUUGGUGUUCAUAGCUUGUAGUUGAUUUAAAACUUGUUGCCAACCUUGACUACCUCAUUCUUGCCCUCUACUUUCCUCAUUAUCUGAUUCCUCCUCUCUACCAUUUCUUGGUGGCUCAUCUAUAGCCACACUACUACUACAUCCACUUGAUUCGUGCUUAAAAGUAAGAGGACCACCACGACAAUUAACUAAAUUAGCCAUAAUCAACACAUUAGUAUCUAAAUUGCCCGUGGAGGGUAAUGCCUCAUAUGGAGAAGACUCCGGAUCAAAACUACAAAGAUACAUGGCCAAACCAACAACAAUAUAUCCUAAUCCAAUACAAUCCUUACGUCUAGCCGGUGUCUCUAAUAAACUUUGCAUAAUAAAAUAUGCCAAAGAAAUAGAUUUAUGGGUAUCUAAACACCAGAGAAUAUUUAAUUCUUGCAUCAUCAUCUUAUUUGUCUCUAUCCUACCAAAUAUGCCUCCACACAUAAAUUUUGAGAUAAGCAAAUACAAUUAUCGUUGAAGACAUUAUUUGACAUUUUAUUAACAUCAUAUUUGUCCUGACCUGUGAGUCUUUUCCAAAACUUGCCCAAAUCAAACUUAUGAUGUUGCUCAUAAACACCUCCUUUCUUUAACCCAAAAGCUUGGACAAUUGUAUCAAAAGUAAUAGUAUAAUUAUGCGCAAAUAAUCUUACCCUAAACUCUUUAUCAUUAAAAGGAUCAUAAUGUAAAGUUGUGAAAAACUCUAAAGUUAAUUCAUUAUAUGAUGGUAAAGCUUUAAACGCAAAAUCCUUCCAUCCUACUCUAUCCAAAAGGAUCAUCAUUCUCUUAAAAAUAUUCAACUUAACUAGAGAGGAAGCAUCUAAAAAUUUACACGAAACCUGCUCUCUCGAAGUAAGACUAAGGAAUCGAUUGCCCUCUUCAUGGGAGUAGAGAUCAAAAUGAACUCCAUAAGUUACCAUUAAGCUUGGUUCUUCUUCAUGAGAACUUGAGAAUAUUUCCUUCCUCUUUUCCUUUCUUGUUCUCUUCUUUGAGGAUAUUAUUUACCUUUGGAAUAGGUAGAAUAGAGAGUAGAGAGUAAAAAUCUUAAGGUUUUGGAAGAAAAGUUGAGGUUUUUUAUAGAGAGAGAAAGAAAAAUGAAAAGAGAGAAAGUAGGAAGUGAUGUUAAUGGAGGAAGGUGAUGUUAGAAAGAGAAAAAAAUAUAUUUAUAUGUGAGGGUUAAGGUUUUUGGAGGAUUGUAUUUGAAUUGUCAUUAGGAACCUUUAAGUUGUUGUUUUUGGUGAGAAAUCAACAACUUUUGAGUCCUAAUACAUUUCAAAUUAAAGUUGUGUUUUUUUAUAGAAAGUGUGGCACCGCUCGCGCCUGGCAGAUGCGCCACGAGGUCGUGGCAUGCGCCUUGGUGCUGAUGCUGUGCACUUCGCGGUGUCAUCCGCGCCUCACGGGUGGCAUCCUGCUAGGGGAAGUCGCGGCUUGCAACUAGCCUACGAGGUCACGGCUUGCGACUGGCUCGCGAGGUUGCGGCUUGCUUCGGCCUUGUGCAUGCUGCCGCGGCAAGCACCCGCGCCUCGCGGUCUCUCCACAACUGCGCAGUGCUCGUGCAAGUGCUGGUGGUGCCGCAGCUGGCUUUGCUGCUGCUUGACUGCUUUGGGCCCGUGUCGUCCUUGCCGUGCCUCUGCUACAGACCCGUGUGAAAAUUUACUGCCGUAACGUGGCUUCCUAAAAAAAAAAUUUAAGGCGUUUAAUUGUUCCUAAAGAUAUCAUAAGGGUUAUUAAGUUGUUAAAAUAUGUAAUUAAGUAGUUGGUAAAUGUAAAUAUACUCAACUAAGUAAGAAUAAAGGGCUUAGGCAAAUUUUGAAUAAAAGUCUUAAAUUUUAUUAAUAAAUGAUAAAAAAUAAAUUGCAACUAAAAAUUUAAAAAGUAAGCUACCGAGGGGACUUGACUAAAAUUAAGACUAAAUUCCUAAUUAAAGACAAGCAUCACAAGGGAUGUUUAGAUCCUAACUAAUUAUAUUUCCUUGGGCAUCCUCAACCGCUUUUGGGUGUUUUUGUUUCGGGUAUACCAUAGUCAUACUUCCUUGGACGUCAUCGACCUCUUUUAGGUGUUUUUGCUUCAGGUAUGCCAUAGUCAUACUUCCUUGGACAUUCUCUCUCUUUCUUUGAGUGAGUAAUGAUGUCGCACUCACUUUUACAUUCACCCUCACUAUCUCCUACCAAGUCGUCACCUCUCGAAGAGAUUUCAUUAAUUAAGUACUUCUCUUGAUACUUUCUUUCAGAAUUUUCAAUUUUUAUUAUUUCCUCAAGAGUGAAUGACCUCUACAUUAGCCUUGGAUAGGCUCUACGAUAGGCAUAAAAGGCGGUAAUUUCUUCAGGCCUAAGAUCAUACUUCGUCCUAAGCCUUUUCCUUGGGCGCCAAUUUUUGGGAAUUUUAGGUAGAGGUGAUGGUGUAGGUGCAGGUGUAGGUCUUCUAGCUCUUGAACUAGAUGGAAUUAAUAGUGAAUGGAAUGGUGUAGGUGCUCUCCUUAUAAUUUUUGUAGAUUUCCUUAAGGCGGGUCAUUAGGGAUUUAAAUCCUUAUUUACCCCUUAAUUACUUGUCCUAUUCCUAUAAGGAAGAAAAAAUCCUAGUUCUUCAUACUUUUCUACAUUCACAUAUUGAAUGAUUAAAACUAAAUGCAAUUUAUGUAAUGCACAUAAUCUUAUAAAUACUUGAAGCACAAUAUUGACUAGUAAAUUAAGUGUUGCCACAUAAAGUUACUCUGUUGUACUUGAUGAUCAUGUAUGUGCUCGGAUAUUUGAAUCUCUUACAGGUUCCUAAAAAUAAAGUGAGAAAAUACUUUAAAUUAAAAACUAAAAUAAUAAAAAUAGAAAAUAUAUAAUACACAAGUGGUAAAUUUAUUGUUUAUAGCUAGACAUUGACGGAGGUUGUUUCAAAUUGGUGGUGCUUCCAUCCAUUCCACUUCAUGUCCAUAGGUCAUUCCUUCAUAAUAUGGCUUUAAGCGAUGGCCAUUAACUUUGAUCGUUCUUGAGUCUUAAUGUUACGUAAUUCCACUGCACCAUGAUUGAAAACCGUUAUUACUUCGAAGGGGUCAUUCCAUCUUGAUCUAAACUUUCUUAAAAAAAAGUUUAAAAUGUGAGUUAAAUAAUAAUACUUUCAUUCCAAGGGUAAAAGAUUUACGAAGUAAAUUCUUAUCAUGUUGCUUCUUGGUCCUUUCUUUGUAUAGUUUGGCAUUCUCAUAUGCCUUACUAUGCAAUUCUUCUAGCUCAUUUAGGUGCAAUAGGCGCUCUUGACCUGCUUUCGUUAAGUCCAUAUUAAGCUCCUUAAUAGCCUAGUAUGCUUUAUGUUCCAAUUCGACCAGUAAAUGGCAAGCCUUGCCAUAUACUAAUCUAUAAGGACUCAUUCCAAUCGGUAUUUUAUAAGCUGUGCGAUAUGCCCAAAGGGCAUUAUUCAAGUGUAUAGCCCAAUCUUUCCUAGAUGGGCGCAAUGAUUUCUCAAGUAUUGAUUUAAUUUGCCUAUUGCUAACUUCCACCUGUCCUAACGUUUGUGGGUGGUAAGGGAUUGCAACUCUAUGAGUUACUCCAUAUUUCUUUAGUAAGGCGCUAAAUGCCUUGCUGCAAAAAUAUGUUCCCCCGUCACUAAUGAUUGCUCUAGGCAUUCCAAACCUACUAAAAACAUUAUCCUUUAUGAAUUUUCAUACUAUCUUAGUAUCAUUAGUUCGAGUAACUAUUGCUUCUACCCAUUUAGACACAUAAUCAAUAGCAAUAAGUAUAUAUUCAUAACCAUGAGAAGGUGAAAAUGGUCCCAUGAAAAUCGAUGCUCUACAUAUUAAACAGCUCAACCACAAGAUUAAGAGUUUAAGGCAUUUCAAUUCAUUUGCUAAUAUUUCCACUUCUUUGGCACCCAUAUUAGCACAAAAAAUAUGAACAUCUUUAAAUAACGAAGGCUAGAAGAAACCUGAAUGUAGAACCUUGUAGGCUGUUUUCUUACCACCAAAAUGACCUCCGCAAUGCAUUUAAUGGCAAAAAGCCAAAAAACUUUUUUGCUCAUCUUCAGGAACAUAUCUUCUAAUCAUUUGAUCAGAAUAAUGUUUAAACAAAUAUGAGUCAUCACAAUAAUAAUGGCUACACACGUAUAGAAAUCGUUUCUUUUCUUGUCAUGUUAAGUUAGUUCUCAUAAUACCACAUGCCAAAUAGUUUACAAUGUCAGCAUACCAUGGCUCAUGAUUUACCACAAACAAUUGUUCAUCAGGGAGAGUCUCAUUAAUUACUUUUUUAGAACCAAGAUUAUCAAAAUCGGAAAUCAACCUCGAAAGAUGAUCCGCAGCUACAUUUUCACUUCCUUUUUUAUCUUUUAUUUCAAUAUCAAAUUCUUACAAUAAGAGCACCCACUUAAUAAGCCGUGGUUUAGCAUAAGGCUUAGUUAAAAGAUAUCUCAAAGCUGUAUGAUCUGAAUGAAUAAUAACUUUAGAUCCUACCAAGUAAGAUCUGAAUUUUUCUAGUGAAAAUACAACAACUAGAAAUUUUUUUUCAAUUAUUGAAUAGUUUAUUUGGGCAUCAUUAAGAGUUUUGCUAGCAUAAUAUAUUACAUGUAAAGCUUUAUCAACUCUUUGGCCUAGGACUGCUCCUAUAGCAUAAUCAGAUGCAUCACAUAUUAUUUUAAAGGGAAAAGACCAAUCAGGUGCCAUAAUAACAUGUGCACUAGUCAAUCUUUCUUUCAAGGCAUUAAAAGCAGAAAGGCAUGCAUCAUUAAAAUAAAGUUAACACCUUUAGCCAACAGUUCACUUAAAGGACGAGAAAUUUUAGAAAAGUCUAUAAUAAAACGCCUAUAAAAUCCUGUAUGGCUAAGAAAACUUCUAAUGCCCUUUACUGAAGUAGGAAAGGCAAUUUGGUAAUUAAAUCAAUUUUUGCCUUAUCGACUUUAAUACCUUUACUAUAAACAACAUGUCCUAACUCAAUACCAUGUUUAACCAUGAAAUGACUCUUUUCCCACCUCAAUGUUAAGUUACACUCGAUGCAUCUCUCGAAAACAUGAGUCAAAUUACUUAGACAUGCAUCAAAUGAGGAGCCAAAAACUGAAAAAUCAUCCAUAAAUACCUCGAUGCAGUCUUCUAACAUGUCAGAGAAAUAGAAAGCAUACAUCUUUGGAAUGUUGCUUGAGCAUUACAAAGCCCAAAAAGCAUCCUCCUAAACACAAAAGUUUCAAAGGAACAUGUAAAAUUUAUCUUUUCUUGAUCUUCAGGUGCAAUGAGUACUUGAUAAUAUCCUGAAAGUCCAUCAAGAAAACAAUAAAAUUCAUGUCCUGCUAAAUGCUUUAAUAUUUGAUCAAUAAAAGGAAGAGAAAAAUGAUCCUUCUUUGUUGUAGCGUUUAAAUUUCUAUAAUCAAUACACAUUCUCCACCAUGUUGUCAUUCUUAUGGGGACUAAUUUUCCUUUUUCAUUCUUAACAACUAUUGUGCCUGACUUUUUAGGUACUACAUGAACAGGGCUACCUAAUUACUAUCAACUAUAGGGUAUAUAAUACACUCAUCCAAUAAUUUUUAGACUUUUUUUUACAACCUCUUUCAUGUUAAGAUGAAGUCGUCUUUGUGUAUCUCUAAUCGCUUUAGAAUUGUCUCUUAAAAUAAUUUUAUGCAUACACAUUGUUGGACUAAUCCCCUUAAUGUCAGAAAUUCCCCACCUAAUAACUUUUUUAAGCCUUCUUAAUUCUCUUAUAGUUGCCUCUUCCUCUAAAGGAGAAAGAUCAUAAGCUAUGACCAUUGAGCAUAUAUUCCUUUCUCCCAACAUGACAUAUUUGAGUGUGUUAGGCAACCCCUUAAGCUCAACUUUAGGUGGUUCAUUAAUAAUUUCUUAUUCAAUUUCAAUGGGUGAAUCUAAAUGUUUAAUAAUGCUUUCAUCAAGUAACAAUGGAAUAGCUUCAUCUAACUUAUCAUGUAAGUCUAAGACUUUUUCAUCUAAAUUUUCUUCAAGCUUUUCCAAUAUUAAUGCAACUUCUAACUUAUCAUCCUUACCUGUAAAUAUGUUUCAUAAACAAGAUAAUCCAUGCAAACAAUAUAUGAACAUUCAUCAAACUGAAGUGUUCGGAGAUAUAGUUAGAGAAUCAAAUACUUUAAAUUCUAUAAUCUCUCCCAAGACUAUCAUAGUCAGCUUCCCAUUGUGCAUGUCAAUAACUGUCUUGGUAGUUUCCAUGAAAGGUCCACCAAGGAGUAUUGUUUGCUCCUUAUCCUUUGCUGAUGUACUUUCCAUGUCAAAAACCACAAAGUCAGCAGGGAUUAUCAAUUUUCCUAUCUAAAUCAGCAAAUCUUCCACCAUACCUCUUGGAUACUUAAUCGACCGAUCAGCUAGUUGUAGAGACAUGGUAGUUGGCUUCAAUUCUCCUAAGCCAAUUGUGCAUAUGUUAAAUAUGGUAUUAAAUUGAUGCUUGCUCCCAAAUCUAACAUGGUUUUAGCAACCUUUUUAUCUCCCAUUAUGGUAUUGACGGUAAAGCUCCCAGGAUUUUUCAUCUUAUAAGGUAAUUGUUGUUGGAGAACUGCAUUUACUAUUUCAGAUACUAUAACUUUUUAAUUGUUUCCAUAUCUUCUCUUGUUGGAAUUAAGUUCCUUAAAGAAUUUAGCAUAAUCUGGCAAUAUUCCUAAUCACAUGCAGCAAAGGCAAAUUAAUGUUAACUUUAGAAAGCAUAUCAAAAAUUAUAGAAAAUUGCUUAUCCUGUUUGUUUUCUUUCAAUCUAUUCGGGAACGGAAUAGGAGGCUUAUAAGACUUAGCUGUCUUAUGAAACUCAAGUCCUGAAAAUGCCUCCUUGUCUUUCUCUUUCUACCCAAUAUUGGGCUCUAUUCUUCCUUCUUUUUGUAAACCUCCUUCAAUUAUUUCUAUAUCAACUAGUCCAUCUUCUUUUGAUGUCCCUGCAUAAGAAGAAUUCUUCUCAAUUAAUUUUUCAAUAUUAUUAUCAAAUAAUUCACCAUCUUUAAGAACAAUGACUGCUUUAGCUUGCUUAGGUUGACUUGGUAAUUUCUCUUUCUUGUUUUCUUGUAUAGCUUCAGCAAUUUGUCCAAUUUGAGUUUCUAAUCGCUUCAUUGAAGCUUCUAUAGAAUCAGUUUUCUUCUCAUUCCUCUCCAUUCUAUCAUGGGUAGUUGUCAUAAAAGAUUGGAGUGUGUCCUCCAAACUUGAUUUCUUUGAGGGGCUUGUCCUUGAUUAGGGAAUGGAGGGUUUUGAUUUCUUAGGUAUUGAGGCUCUUGAUUCUGACACUAGGGCUGGUUUGGUUCCUCAGUAUUUGUGGUGGGUUAUGAUUAUUAUUUCUCUAGGAAAAAUUUGGAUGAUUCCUCCAUCCUAGAUUAUAAGUGUUGGAGUAUGGAUUAUUCCUAGAUUGCCUAGGCUAAUAAGAUUCUAUCAAAUUAACAUGUUCAUAAUCAUCUCCUGUAUAAGACGAGCAAAUGUUAGCAGCAUGACCAUAAACACCAGAUAUACCACAUACCUCAUUACUCUGUACAUUCUUAGUUGAAGCAAGUAUCCUAACUUGUUUAGUUAAUUCAGUUAUUUGCAUAGCCAUCUCAUUAUUAGACACCACUUUAUUCACUCAUACUCUUUUUGUUCUCACUCUUUUGUUGUGAAUUAGCUCCUUACAUCUCAAAGAUAUCAUAAAUCUCAUCAGUAGUUUUCUCUAACAUGGCACCCCUAACUGCAUUAUUAACCAUACAUUGAUAUUGUUUUAUUAGACCAUCAUAAAAUGAUUGGUUGGUCACAGGAAGUGAGUAUUCAUGGUUUGGGCAUUGUAAUAAAAGUGAUUUGAAGCGAUCCCAUGCUUCAUGAAAGGAUUCAAUAUCUUUUUAAUAAAAGUUGGAAAUUUCAGCCUUAAUUCUUUAGUCUUUUGAUGUGAGUAAAAUUUGCUUAUAAAUAUUUGAUAAACUUCAUCUUAAGUUCUCAAAGAAUUACGAGGCAAGAUCAUUAACUAACCCUUUUCUUUCUCUUUUAAUGAGUAAGGAAAACAUCUCAUCCUUAAUUGGUCUUUAUUGAGUCUAGAUAAUGGGAAUGUAUGAACUAUAGCAUAAAAUUCUCUAAUGGAUAUUAAUGCAUCCUCACUAGGCAUACCAUAAAAUGAAGGAAGUAUAUUAAAAUGGAUGUUCUUUAGUUCAUAAUUUAUAGAUGCGUCACCUAAAACUAUGCAUGAAGUAGUGUUACUAAUUAUAUGACGAGUAUAAUCCUUCAUAGCCAUUUGCCUUUGAGCUGCAACUUCUCUUUGGUCAUUAGCCAUUAUCUCAAUUUCUCCUUCAAACCCUUGUUCUAGCUUUUCUUCAGAUUCUUUUUCUCUUGGAGAUACAAACUCACUCUCUACCUCUUGGUCUCUUUCUACCUUUUUAACAGCUGAUCUUAAGUUGUAGGGAUUUUGAGUUGAUGAAUCACAUGAUCUUGUUUUUCUACUAGGCAUACAAAAUUAAAGAAAAAUUUUCAUAUUUAAAAACUUAAAAAUAAAAUUUAAAGAAAAAAUAAAAAUAAAUAAACAUGCAAUACACAAAAACACAAGAAAUAAAACUCAACAAUUAAUCAAUACAAUAUUAAAACAACUCCCCGGCAAUGGCGCCAAAAACUUUAUGUGUCUAAAUUAGUACUCGUAAGUGUAUGAACCGAAUGAUAGUACGGGCAAGUUCACCACGAGGUCGAUCUUAUAAGAAAUUGUACAACAAAUAUUAUAAAGACCAAUUAUCAUAUUAAAUACUAAAACUAAAUCUAAAAACUCUAAACCAAUAUUUUGAGAAUGAUCUUAAGGUUUAUAAAAGAAAUUAAAUAACUAGAAAAUAAAUAUGCAACUAGAAUGAUUAAUAUAAACUAUAUGAUAAAAUAGCAUUUAGUGUAGCUUAUACUUAGUAAUCCUCUUAUUUUCCUUAAGUCCAAAUCUAAUAAAUGAGACGGUGAUGUGUCUUUUCCCUAAGUCACUCAAGUUAAUUAUGCAACAUAGGUUUCUUAUACCAACAUAGAUUAAAGUAAAGAUGAUAUUUCUAAUACUUUUAAUCUAAAGAUUUUCAUAACAUAUAUUACUACUAAAUUGAUAUGAUAGUCAACCAAUAAUAAUAGAUGAAACUAAUACAUAUAUGAAAGUAAAGAAAUCAUUCAUUAAACUCAUAAUAUAAAAGGUUCAUACAUAAGUAAAAAUUCAAACUAAACACUUAUGGAACUUAGCCUCACAUACUUAAUCCAAUGGUCAUUGUAAUUAAAUAGAAAGACAUAAGAUACACAAAAUAAAAAAUUAAAACUCCCUCAAAAUCCAAAGACCUUAGAAGAUUGAUCCUCUCUCUCCACGUCUUUAAAAAGCUUCUUUGAUUCUUGAAAGAAUAAUGCAACAAGACUAACUAGAUGUAGAAGAUGAUAAACUGUAGAAAUUCCUGCAGAGCGAAUAGUGAAGCCUUUCUCGCAGAGAGAAUAGUAGUAAAAAAACCCUCUUUUGUUUAAUUAACCUGUACUUUUUAUAGAGAUUUCCUUUUUAGAGUUAUUCUCUAAGCACAUAACUACUAUAGUUAUCUCUUACUGUCCUAAAUAAAAUAAACAACUUAAAAGAUAAUUAUCCAUUAAUUACAUCAUAACUACUGAAUUCCGCCUUAUUGGGCCUUGAUAAAUUUGGCUAAGCCUGCGCUAUUGGUAGCCCACGUGUCUUAUUCCCAAGUCUUUUACAGCCGCAGUCUAUUUAAAGCCCAUUUAUGCAUUUUUGGCUCAAAUUUUUCUCUGGCGAUUAUUUCUUGAAUUUAGACAAGAAAACUAAAGUGAGGUAAAAAUACAUAUUUUUACUAUAUUAUAUAUAGAAAUAUAUCAUUAAAGCUCUUAAUUAUCUAUAUAUAAUUUGGACCGAUCAGUAAUCCACACAAGUUUUAAAGUUGGAAUCUCUUAUGAACAAUUUUUCACAAGAGAGAGAAUAGAGAUGAUUAGGAAUGAAUGCUAGUUCCUAGUUAGGCUAAGUCUUAAUUAAUCAAAUUAAUUAAGUGUUGACAGAAACAACCUUAACCUUAGCCGCCUAUUAUGUCCUUUAUAUAUAUAUACAUUGCAUUUAACUUAGUCCCUUAAUAACAAAUAUUCCUAACAAGGGCUUACUUACUCUUAAGUUGGGUCUUAGUUGGACUUGUUAAACUAAAUUAACUUAAUAAAUACAUGAGCAUAGUAAAAAGGUCAUUCAUAGUCGAAUACCAUAGCUCAAUAAGUAUUAAUAUAAUUAAAACUUAAUUAGGCCAAAUGUAUAUAAGUUUAAGUCAAAUCUUAAUCUAACGUUCAGUAUAUUUGUGUGUGAUCCAAAAAGUUCUUAACAUGUUGGCAAUAAAUUAUAUAUUAAACUCUUUUAGUUCAUUGUUAAUUCUCUAAUUAACUUAAUUCAUAUCUUAUACAUCAAAAUUGAUAUCUAGCAAUGCAUCAUGACCACCCAAAUGUGUAGGAAGGAUUAGUGUCAACUAAUCAAUCUUGUUGUAAAUGAUUUGUUCAAUGUAAUUCAAUCUUUUCAUUAUCCUUAUAUCCUAGUUACUCACAGAGUAUGGAUUGAAGUAUCAACUCUAUGUUUGAUCCAAUCAUAUUUAUUAUUUGAUAUAAUUCCACUAACUAAUGAACUUAAUCUACAAAUCUCAAUUCAUAAUCAAUAUGUUCAACUACCUUGCACGAGGAUUUGUAUUAGUUAAUGCACUAUCAAAAAACUCUAGGAUAUAGUCCCAUGUAAUAAUUACUUUGGGUAGUAAGUCAUUUGUGGAUAAUCUCAUUCUUUCUAUGUGACUCUUUUUAUACCCAAUUACUAUCCCUUGAGCACCUCAUGGUUAGAAUGACAUAAGAUAGUGUCAAAGAUCGAUUCCUUACUUCCAAAGUAAGAUGAUAAACCCAUUGUGGUAGUCUCAAGUAUUUUAUCAAUAUCCAUAUGAUGAGAAUCAAUCUUUUGAUUAAACUUCGACUAUGAACUAGUUUAGGAAUAAUACUUUAUUGUGAGGAGAAUCUCAUAAUCACAACCUCUUUAUGAUUUCUCGCACAAUGCACUAUACAUUAUAUGUAAUUCAUAUAUAUUAGUUUAAAUAUACAAAUAUAAAGAAUUUAUAAACUUGAACAAAUAUUUUUUAAUAAAUAGAUGAUAUGCCAACACAAAUUGUAUAAACUAUCAUAGAUAAAUUAGAACAAUACAUAUAGCUCUCUUCCGCUAUACUAUGUUAGUACAAGACUAUGUUAUGAAGUUGAAUUUUGGAAUAAUUGGUUUUUAGUUAUGUCAUACAAAGCCACGGCAUUAGUAGUCAUAUGAAACAGAGAUAGAAAUUGAUCCAAAUAAACAUGAAUUAUAUGAGGAAGACAUUUUGACAACAUGUUCUGAGUUUGUGGUGUAUAGGUCGGGUGAUUGCUUAGUCUGCAAGCAAAGUGAUCAUGGAUUAUAUCUCAAAGUAGUACUUAAUGUGUUAAGAAAACUCUCAAAGCAUCACAUACAAGUAACAAGUGAAGAGACAUAUUUUCAUUAUUAAAUAAAAGCCCAACUACAUGGAGCAAAACCUGGCCAUCAUUUAAACAUACGCAACAUAACUCAAAGAGAGAAACAGAAUUGAUGGAUUGGCCUCAAAAACAAACUCUCACUUGCUAUCCUCACACCCUCGUAGCGAAGAAGAAGAAAACAAAACAGAGAGGUAGAGAUAGAUGGCCAGGGUGAAUCACCACUUAGUGCAGAAGGAACAUCUUGAACCAGUAAGCUGAAUAUUUCAUAUAUCUCUUCAACUUGUUCUUGUAGUCAACAUAAAUCAUGCCAAAUCGAACGGUAAAUCCAGCAUCCCAUUCAAAGUCGUCCAUAAAUGACCAUGCAUAAUAUCCCUUCACAUUAGCUCCCUCCCUGAUCAAAAUUUCAUGUCAAGCUUACAAGAUAGAAAUGAACUUAUAUGGGCUCCGCAUGAAUCUCAUCAUAAAUGAUAUGUAUAAGUCCAUUUCGUCCAUUUUGAAUUUUUAUCAAAAAAACAUUUAAUAAUUGUUUGAAAUCAAAAAUUGUUAUUUUAUUAAAUAUUUUACAGUUGGUUUAUGA
rnacentral:lncRNA from 1 species